UUUCAAACAGGUCCAUUGCCUUCCAUUCUCUGCACAUUCGUUGUCUGUAUCUUGUGACUGGCAGCCAUUUGUAUCUACUGGAAUGCUUCGAUAGUAACGCUCCAUAACCAGCAUACUUACUUGUUUACUCCACUUUUUCUCGCGGCAUGGCUAGCAGUUGCUGGAUUACGAAUGGGCUCAUCCUACCGCACAAUGGAACACCUACCAGGUUCAGCAUUUUCACUAUUAUUAUUAUUAUUAUUAUUAUUAGUAGUAGUAGUAGUAGUAGUAGUAGUAGUAGUAGUUGUAGUAGUAGUAGUAGUAGUAGUAGUAUCAUCCUCCUCCUCCUCCUCCUCCUCCUCCUCAUCAUCAUCAUCAUCAUCAUCAUCAUUAUUAUUAUUAUUAUUAUUAUUAUUAUUAUUAUUAUUAUUAUUAUUAUUAUUAUUAUUAUUAUUAUUAUUAUAUUAUAUAUUAUUAUUCAGUUGCCUUCGUUUUAUUAAAUGCUUUCACAGAAUUUCCUUUCUGUCUUAAGUAUCAGCACUGAUAUGUUUUGGCUUUGUUUUUCUAUUGAAUUGAUAGUUCUCUGAAUGUUUUUUAGUGCUUAGUAUUGUUUUCCCUGUGUGUUGCACGUAUUUGUAAGUCUUAGUACUUUGGUUAUGUGUUUAUCUACAUGCCUUUUAUCAUAUUCUAUUAUUGCAGGAAUUAUUUUGUUUCCACCACCCACCCCUAUCACCUGAUGAAUACGUUAUCAUAUGUUGGGUUUGAUAUAUCAAAUAGGAAGCAUUUCUUUUCCCAGGGUGCUUGAUAGCAAUAUCUGAUCGAUUAGAUUUUAUCUCUCUAACUGUACAUUGGAAUACCCAUGUGUAUGGUUGCUUUCUCAUUUUCUAAAACCUUUUCUGGUAUAUAUCGAUACGGUUUAUUUUUUGUUUAUAUUUCAUAAUGCGGAUAUAACUUCCACUACAUGUAAAUCCCAAUGCUGCCAUGCCUGAUGCUGUAUUCUUUCUCAGCAGCCAGACAAUGUGGUUAAUUGUUCCUUCACUGACUCCAAAUAUUCAGAAGUUACUUUCUGUAUAUAGCUUCAUGCGAUGCUUUGGUUAUUUCUGGUAAGAAGGUUUUAAUACAGUAUUGCAAUCGAAAUCCCUUCAGUAACAGUUUUGCACUUCUCAUCCAAGUCUCCUUAUCUACUUCUACUGUGUUCAUCUUCAGCUCUUGAUUAUGUAGUGACUUUUGUCAUCACUCUAUAUAAUGGUAUUCAAUAACCCUAUUUUUAGUUGAGACUUUAGCUCUUUCAAAAUUUGUGUUCAGGUUUUCUUUUUCCUUAUAGUAUCUUUUAUUUUAGCAUCUGUUUAUAUUUGUUAUAAUUUUUACAUUUUAAUCGUGCAUUAUGGCUAUUUGCAUUAAUUUUACAGUGUUCUAUUUUAGGUAUUUUUGUAAUCCUACAAUGCGUAUUUUAUAACUGUGUUUACAACUGCAUAAGACCCCUAUCCCCAUCGCUUUCUGUAUCAAAUUUUAGGUGGUGUAUUCUAAAUGCGAUUAGGUUCGCUAAGUACGUGAUUGAGAAUAUAAAAAAGGAACUAGAUCAGUGUUGCUUAUUAACUUAUUCACUGCAUUUAGCUCUCAUUUUAAUAUUAAUCUAAUGCGCCUAUAAUAUUCUUCCAAAUGUGUUUUCUUUCAUUUGUGUGUUUUGUGCACGGUCUAGUUCAUUGAUUCCUGAAUACUUAUUUGAAUACAUUUAACUUAUUUCUAUUUAUUUAUCUAUCUAGCAUGAUAUUAGUGUUCUUAAUACUCCUCUCUUCAAGGUCAUCAUGAUCAUUAUUAUUAUUAUUAUUAUUAUUAUUAUUAUUAUUAUUAUUAUUAUUAUUAUUAUUAUUAUCAUCAUCAUCAUCAUCAUCGUCGUCAUCAUCAUCAUCAUCGUCGUCGUCAUCAUCAUCAUCAUCAUCAUCAUCAUCAUCAUCAUCAUCAUCAUCAUUAUUAUUAUUAUUAUCAUUAUUAUUAUUAUUAUUAUUAUUAUUGAGUGAGCGAGCCGAGCAUGCCAUCAAAGUGACACUGGGGUAAAAUAUACGAAGCCCAGUAUACCCAUCAUGACUACCCGUCUGAUAAGGGUACACCAGGCACAUGCAUCACAACCAUAUGUGCGCGAUAUGGUGAUCUCAUAUCAAGAUAAACAGCACAUGACCUUGCAGGUGGAGCCCAGUUAGAAUUUUCUUCAGAUCGAGUAACCCAUCCCGCUCAAAAGGUCCCUGAAUAAGGGUUGUUUAAGGACGUUGAACGAAACACCCAUGUUUCCAGAGGUGAAUUAUUCAAACCCCAAAGAAUCCUUCUCAACACAUGGCUAUGAUGCUCCCCCACUACUUCUGCUCGUGAUCAGAGAUGCACAUAUCGUCAGCCACUAAGGGACAUGCUCAACUGGUUAAGGUCAAACAACUGACAAGCAAAUCUGUGGUAUUGAGCAGAAUAUUUGCUGUAGCCCAUCUUUUAUACCAAGACAAAAUAAUGUACAUGAUAACACUUCCAAUCAGUUAAGAUCAGAAGCCAUGAGAGCCACUGCCUGGUACUGCAUCAGGGCAUUUAUUAUUAUUAUUAUUAUUAUUAUUAUUAUUAUUAUUAUUAUUAUUAUUAUUAUUAUUAUUAUUAUUAAUGCAAACCCAGUGUGACGUAAUUAGUAACUCGGUCAGAAAUCAUUAUUGUUGCUGUUGUUCCUGUUUCUGUCUAGUGAGUUCACAGCUGUUUUAUAUGUGAUACCCACGUUUACUACAAGCGUGAAGUAACUUUAGUUGGAAACAGUUUACUUGUUUAACAUGAAUUAUCUCAGUAGCUAUGCAGUGUCAAGCAAUGCUUAUCAUGUAUAACGACUAACACUUACCAAAAUUUUAGGCCUUGUGCCUAGAGUAGAAAAGAUUAUUAUUAUUUUCUUUUCUUUUUUCAGUUAUUUGUUCUUAUACAUCUUUUUUCUUCUGUUAGCUAAUAUAUUCCUGGUUAGUGGUGCAGACGCGUUAUAAAGUAAUUUACUAACGUUUCUUAAUCUCUAAUGACAAUACCCGGAGUCCGAGUGGCGAACAAAUUUACUUCUUAAUCAUAAAGUUUUGAUUUCUGUUUGAUCCCUCUGUGCAGCACAUUCUCAACUUCUCAUCGUCAGAUCAACUUGCGAAUGAAAUUAGGUUGACACUAACUGCAUAAAAGCUGGUCGGAAUGACUGUACGAAGAAUCCAGAGACGCAGCAUUGUUGUAUACAUUGUCACGCUGAAAUUGUAGAUGGAUUAUGUUUAGACAACGUUAAGGGGUACAUCAUAGCGUUUGAACAAUUUUGACUAUAAGACAUAGUAUUACAUAGUAGAUUGUUCCGUUGACCGAACUAAAACGCUUAUUUGAUGAUAUCGAUCGAAACGGGAACCAGUCAUAAGUGUGCCUACGUGUCUGUGUUUGCGAGUAAUUAUAUGCUCACGUGCAAACACACACAGACACACGCACAUGUAUAUAUAUAUAUAUAUAUUUAUAUAUAUGUGUGUGUGUGUGUGUGUUUGUGUGUGUGUGUGUAUGUAUGCAUGCAUGUAUGUAUAUACACAUACACACAUACGUACAUACAUAUGUAUAUUAUAUGCAUAUACAUCGUUAUGCUUGUAUAUAUAUGUAUAAUGUAUAUAUAUAUAUAUAUAUAUAUAUAUAUAUAUAUAUGCAUAUAUAUCCAUACAUGCGCGUAACACAUACAUACAUACAUACACACACACAUAUAUAUAUAUAUAUAUCUGUAUGUAUAUAUGUAUUAUGUUUGUAUAUAUAUAUAUAUAUGUAUAUAUUAGAUACAUAUGUAUAUAUUCUACAUAUAAUUAUCGUCACACCCAUUUUCUACGUAUACACAUUGUACUUCGUCUUGCUGCGGUUUAUUUUUUAUUAUUUUGUUUUCUUUUCCUUGUUGCUCUCUUGGCAAAUAGGUAAUUAAUUCUUUAUUUGCCUUAAGCUUCAUGCCUAAUUAAGAAUAGCACUGUCGUUGUUAUUGUUGUUGCUUUUGUUGUUGAUGAUGAUGAUGAUGAUGAUGAUGAUGAUGAUGAUGUUUAUGAGGGUGAUGAUGGCAGUUUAUCGUAUUCUCUUUUCUCUUCCUUGCAUCUCUACUUAUAAUCUUCACUUGUUCUGUUUUUUGCAUUCCCAAAGAAACGAAAGUUUCUUCUUAGCUUCUCACUAUCUUUUCAGUGUUGUGUUGCAGUUUAACUUUUUGCAUGUUUUCGCUCAGCCUUUCUCUCAAUCUUGCCCUCUUUCUCUCGCCCUCUCUCACACUUACUCUUUGGCUCCUUGCCUUUUCCUCUCUAUCUCCCGCUAUUCUUCCUUUACUCUCACUGCACAUACCUAUCAUUUGUCUUCCCCCGCACUCUUGUCUAACCUAUUUGCCUACAUCUAUUAUCUUACUCACACAUCUGAUCUGAAGAAUCUAAAUACCUGAUGUAACCAUAAGUUCGCUAGCUUUGUUCUCCCACAAAGUUUUACAUAGCACAAUAUCCUUCGUUCUCAAAACCAUUAGCUUAUGCAACAACCUUCACACUUUAGCUCCUCCUCUUUUUUAACUUUGCCUUUCACUCCUCGAUCUUUAAAACACUAUUACUCCUCUCUGUCUCUCCCCCCCUCUCUCUCUCACCGAAGUUUUUCAAAUGUCUUCCGCAUGUUAAUCACAUGUGAUUAUCUGACAACUGUAUAUGUACACUUCAGCACAUCUGCUUCUAUUGGAAGGUAUCCCCGCCUAUCUGUCUUCCUUUACACUCUGCCCCGUUUAUCUUUCUAUCCAUUAUCUCUCCAUCUCUCUCUCUCUCUCUCUCUCUCUCUCUCUCUCUCUCUCUAUCUCUCUCUCUCUCUCUAUAUAUAUAUAUAUAUAUAUAUAUAUACAUAUACAUACAUAUAUAUGUAUGAAUAUAUAUAUAUAUGUAUAUCAAUAUCUAUAUAUUUAUAUAUGUAUAUAUGUAUAUAUGUAUAUAUGUAUAUCUAUAUCUAUAUAUAUAAGUAUAUAUGUAUGUAAAUAUAUAUAUAUAUAUUCAUAUAUAAUCUUAAUUAUUUAUAAUAUAUCCUUCGUAAUGUUUUUAUAUUACUCUCUACUUAUUUAAAUUUUCCUAACUCAUAUCCGGUGAAAUUGCCGUGGCUCGAAUUUACCGGUCUUUUCACAUAAACGCUGUGCAUGGCAUUUGAAUUCAAAACUUGAUUGUGUAGAUAGAGGUGAAAAAAUUUCUAUUGCCGGUCAGGAUUCAUGCUAGCCCCAAGGUGAAGUCUUCUAUCUAUAGGAAUAUUUCCCUUGACGAGGCGAAUGAGUCCCUUAAGAGGUCCCUAGCGCCGAAAUUGCAAUAGGGAAUUAACCAAUUAUUUUGUAGUUGUGGAUUCUAUUUGCCAUGUUGUCCGAAGUUUUUAUGGUGGGGAAAAAUGAUAUGAGUGAUAUAAUGGCUUUAUAGCCGUUUUGGCUGCUAUUUUUAACAUGUAAAGGUUUUUUUAACCCUCUUAGCUAUAAUUGUGACUUGUUCAUAAUUAUAAACGUUUUUCUUUAUAUUUUAUGAUAACGUUUGGCCAUUUAUAUAUUCAUAAAUAAUCUUAAUUAUUUAUAAUAUAUCCUCCGUAAUGUUUUCGCACUACUCUCUACGUAUAUAUAUGUAUAUGUAUAUGUGUGUGUGCGUGUUUGUGUGUGCGUGUGUGUGUAUGUGUGCGUGUGUAUAUAUAUAUAUAUAUAUAUAUAUAUAUAUAUAUAUAUAUGUAACGGGGUAUGAUAUGGGGCUAAAAAAUACUAACCUGAUCAGAGGCUAAACAACAAAUGCAGCCUAACCUUUAUGCCGUAAAUGUGUUCCUAUUAUCUCCCUUCAUUCUAUGACAACUGCAAUGGUUUCUGCUCCUGCGAAUGAGUUACUUGCUACCACCUUCCCCCAGUAGAUAACUCACCACCACCACCACCUUUCCUUCUCAUCUCAAACUUACAGUGUUUCACCAAAGAACUUUUGAAUACUAUCCAAAAACUGAAUAUUUUUCUCAGUAGUAUUAUUUCCCCUUGGAAUUUCACCUUCGCCAAAAUUUUCUCCUACAAGAAUUAACCAGUAGACAUUCAAGCUGAAGAUUUUAAGUUCAUCGGCCUCGUUAGUCUAAAAGAAUCAACAAAGAUCGUGGACGAUGCUCCUCCGUCGCUGUCCACAUUAUUCAAAUAUUAUCCUAACAAUACAUUUGCUGCCUAAAUCUGUCACAGAAUUCAGACAACCCAAUAAAACAUACAUGCAUGCAUAUAUAUUUAUAACGUAUAUGUAUGCGCGUGUUUGUGUGUGCAUGUGAAGUUUUUUGCUUUUUUUAUGCUGCUGUUAAAGUACAUAAAUAACCGUAGCCAAGUCAGUGGUGUAUAUAUAUUAUACUUGUGUGUAAAACUAUUGCCAAAUAACAAUGUAAACGUUAAGACGAAAAUUGUUAGAACGUGUUAGUUAGUCAGAGUGGAUGAUGAUGGUGAUGAUAAUGAUGACGACGACGACGACGAUGAUGAUGAUUUGUAUAUCGAUUUGUGCAGACAGACGUGUGCAGAGACGGGAUUUUAUAUGUAUGUAAUUCUGGGAUGGGUGACUUGGAAAAAAUAUGUAGUGCGAAAUCUGGCUUGGAAGACACUGAAGGAGUGACAGAAGGAAGAGAGACUGGCGUUUCAGGUGACCCUGCAAGGAGAGGGAUAAACAGCCAGCUCAUAUAGAGGAGCUAUGAAUGUUGUAUUAUUUGUGUUAUAGAGCCAGUGGUUGCAGAAAGUUUGCUUAUAAAUUUUGUAAAUCAGCCAGACGGUCUUAUUUUGAAUGAGGUUUGUAUGUGCAUAUAUCAGAGGCACUGUUCCAGAUAUUUGAGCUGCACUCUAAUACGGGAUAUGGUUUACAUUUCUAGAGAGUCGACAACUAAUCAGGGCGAAGCAUUUUCUAUUUAUGAAUAUGAAGCUUAAUCUUUGAGAUUCAUUUUACACAGUAUCAUUUAUGUUACGUUGCUACGCGUAUUAAUCAGUGAUGACUUUUGUGAUGUGUUUUGUGAGCUGUCUACAACUAGAAAGAGAGAGUGGCGGGGAGGUGAGGUACACGAUUCCUUCAUUAACAUAUGUAGUUAUUGAAGAAAACUAGAGUGUUGUUUUCUUAUUAAAUUUCCCCGAUGUCUGUUGGUGGAAACAGUAUGUUCGUGGAGACAGUUGUAUCAUCUGAAUAGAAGUGUGUUUUGUUAAAAGCAACAGAAAGAAAGAUAAGUAACUUAUCUAGGACGUUCUCAUAUUAGACAUGGUUAAUGACUAAGAUUGUAUCAAAUGUAAGAACAUUGCUUUCAUCAAAGUUUCUUAGGGUUCGAAACCACUAGUGACUGACAUAUGAAUGUACGUUAGCCUCCAGUAAAUCUGGCUCUAUGGAAGCCGUACUGGUUUACACGAAGGCGGGUAAGAGAAUCAAGGUGGUGAAUAAGAUAACUGUUUCCAUUAUUUCUGAGAUGUUGCAAGUAGUUGACAGAGUCAAACAUAUUUAUUUUUUUUCUUCUUAGAGAUUGCAAACGUUCGGAGUAAAUAUAUUUUGGGUAAGUAUAUCGUAGUAAAUACAUCGCCUGGAAAUUAUUCGCGGGUUAAAACAUUACCAGUAAAGUAAUAUUUAUCUUCAGUUAAAUGUCGAUGUUCUGUUAGAACAACCUUUACUGCGCUAGAUACCAUGAGAUGGCUAGGAGAUAAAUCGCUCCGCCAGUGAUAUAAACAAGCGUGCAUUUUGCAGGAGAUGGCGGGGAUUUAUCUCCCCGCCAGCGAUAUAAAGAGGCACGCAUUUUGUUCCAAAAGCCCAUAUGAGAGCUUUUCACAUGGUAUCUACCACAGUAAAGUUUGUACUAACAGAACAUCCACGUUUAAGUAGCGAUAAGUAUUACCUCUUGGUAUUAAUCUUGCCUCUGUCACUAAUAUAUAUUGCCAGUAAAUUCACCAUACCAGUAUAUAGUGGGGAAAAUCUAUGGUCAGCUUUUUAAACCGCAUUUCUUUUCAUUGUUAAUGAAAUGCAACGUAUUUACUUUGCGAAUAAAGGCCUUUAAAUAAUUUUUAGCGAUAUAUUUAAACUGCAGAUAAAAUAUGUGACGAUGAGCUUAAUUGCCUUGCUAUAUAUUUACCAUGAUGAAUUUAUGGAACACCCGAGAGACAUUGUAGCAUAUUUUCAAAGAGUCGAACAGUCUCUCUAGAAGGAGAAAUUUUAAGGAUAUUUGAGGGGAUAGAAGCUAUUUCAUAAUUUCAGCGUUUAAAGGUAAUGAGAGAGGCAUUACUUGGGACUGGUGCGAGUGGAGCUAUAUUUUGACUUGGCAGCAGUUUAUUUAGUGGUGAAAAUAUUGGAGUGAUAAACAAAAGUUUGAAGAAAUUUUGUUACGUGUUGUGUAGAACGAGAAGCAAAUAAGCCAAAAAUAUAGAGAAUUUCUUUUUUUUGUGGGAAUACUUGUUACAGAUCUAACCUGGAUGAUGUGAAGUAGUUAAGAGUAGUAGCUGCAAUUGUAGAAGCGAGUGAGUUUCUAGGUUGUGCGCCACAUGAAAAAAUCAUUCGUUUUUGAAUGGUGUCAGUCAAGCUCUUUAGUUCUUAGUAACACUGUUCCAGUUGAUAGAGGCAGUCGUUGGGUUGGCACUUUGGAAGAUUAGGAGCUUUGUUUAUGAAUGUGAGGUAAAGAAGUUGAAGAGGAGAAGAGGAGAUGAGUACAAUGAUUUCAGAUGUAGUCGGAAUAUAGCUAACUUGAUGUAUCAAAUGUUUUACUUUGUUUUAUUCCAUUCUAUGUGAAUAGAAACGAGAAUGAUUGGCUAAACCUUGAUUUUGGUGGCGAGAAAAGGGUAAAGGUGACACGGCUGCUUAUUGACAAUUUCUAAUAUAGGUACGUGGUCAAAGGUGGUGGGCUGGCAGAAUCGUUAGCAUGGCAGGCAAAAUAGUUAGCAGCAUUUCGUCCUCUUUAUGUUCCGAGUUUAAAUUCCGCCGAAGUUGAAGUUACCUUCAAUCCUUUCGGAAUCGAUGAAAUAAUACCAGUUGAAUACUGGAGUCGAUUUAGUCCACUAUACCCCACUCAUAUCAAAUUUCAACAUGCUUGGAAUUUCAUCCGCGUUUACGUGUUAGUUCAAAUUCCGCCGAGGCCGACUUAACCUUUCAUCCUUUCGGGUGGAAAAAUAAGUAUAAGUUGAGGACUGGGGACGAUGUAAUCGACUAACCCCUCCUCCGAACUUGCUGGUCUUGUGCCAAAAUUUGAAAACAAUAGAGGUACAAGGUCUGCAAAUCUUUUUUGAAGAGUGAGUUGUUGAUCGAUUAAAUCGAUCUUCAAUAUUUGGAUGGUAUUUCAAUUUAAUGACCUCGGAAAGAUGAAAGGCAAAGAUGACCUCAAUGAGAUUUGUACUAUGAAUGUAAAGAGUCGAACAAAUGCCAAAAGAUACAUUUCCGAUGCACUAACAAUUCUGCCAUUACAUCCUCCCACAGAUAGUUAGGUCGAAUUACGGUAGGUAGUUUAUAAUGGUAAAGGGUUAGACUUCCCUGCCAGUAGCAUAAACUGUAGGAGAGAUACGAGAGCAAAGAGAAGUUGCACACAAAUUUCUCUGAGCAAUAUGCCUUCAGAAAGGGAUGGCAUAAGCUAGAUGGGACGGAAGAUCAUCGAACAGAAUGUCAUGACAGACGAAUAUCACUCGCAAAAUCUUCUGUUCGAUGACUCACAAGUCAUAAUCUGGGGAAUAACUUUAUGCUUUUAAUGUCUCUAUGCAGCGAUAUGCGUUGAGUAUAUUAACAAAUACAAACCAAGGUUGCCAGGUCAAUUUCAUAAAAUGUGACGGAUUGUGUUUUAAAGAAGCUCACAAUGAUAAUCUUGCAAAUAAAUUGAAUACAUACAUAAACACACGUACACACACAGACACACAUACAGACAGACACACAGACAGACAUACACACACACACACACACACUCACACACACACACAUAUAUAUAUAUAUUCUUUUGCUUGUUUCAGUCAUUUGACUGUGGCCAUGCUAGAGCACCGCCUUACGAUGGGCUUCUUUCAGUUUCCGUCUACCAAAUCACAAGGCUUUGAUCGGCCCGAAGCUAUAGUAGAAGACAGUUGCCCAAGGUGCCACGCAGUGGGACUGAACCCGGAACCAUGUGGUUGGUAAGCAAGCUACUUACCACACCGCCACUCCUACGCAUAUAUAUAUAUAUAUAUAUAUAUAUAUAUAUAUAUAUAUAUAUAUAUAUAUAUAUAUAUAUAUAUAUUUCUGUGUUCCUUUCUAUCGAAGAGCGUAGGCUCGAAACGUAAAAGACUUUCUCACUUCCCGAGCGUUAAACUAACACAUCUGUUUGUUGUUUACCCACCUGUAUUUUUUUAAAUAAAUUCUCACUAUAUGUAUGUAUGUAUAUAUACACAUAUAUGUAAAUGUAUUUAUGUAUAUUUAGGUACUCACAAAAAUUGCUUGUUGGUCGAAUCUAAUUUACUUAGUAUAUCAAUAUGAUAUUCAACUGGAUUCUUAUCUUACAGAAUUAAAGUUUUAAUGUACGAAACGAAAAGAACGAAAGAAGAGGCGUGCAAUACUGAAAAGAAGUAACGUAUUCCGAUACCUGUAGCCCAAUCUGGCAACUCUGAAAGUAACACUUUAAAACUAUAAGACUUACAGAAACAUGAAAUCGAGAAAAAUCUUUGCAGUUGAAUACUGAUCAGAUGUAUGCGUGUGACUCCUUACGUAUGCGCGUGUACAUGUGUGUGAGGAAGUAAGUAUAUAUGUGUACGCGAGUGUAAUUGCGAUUUUGUUUUGUUUAUAUUUGUGUACAGUCCGUGAGUUCAAGCAACCUUGAGUGGAAUUAUUUAUCAACAAAGAAUAUAGUCAAAUAUAUAGAAUCACUUGACUAAUUAACACAAUAGCAUAAUUUUAUAACUCUAUAAAGAAUGCAUUAAGCGUUCUUUGUUUAAUAUACAUAUAUGUGUGUGUGUGUGCACGCGCGCGUGUGUUUGUAUGUAUAUAUAUAUAUAUAUAUAUAUAUAUAUAUAUAUAUAUAUAUAUAUAUAUAUAUAGGGAGAAUUAAAAAAAAAUAUACAUAUAUUUAUACAUAUAUAUUCAUAUAUAUAUAUAUACUUAUAUAUACUCAUAUAUAUGUAUAUACAUACAUACAUAAUACAUAUAUAUAUAUAUAUAUAUAUAUAUAUAUAUACAUGCACAUAUAAAUAUAUAUACAUUAUAUAAUACAUACAUAUAUUCAUUAUAUGUACAUAUAUAUGUAUAUGUAUAUAUAUAUGUAUAUGUAUAUAUAUAUGUAUAUAUAUGUAUAUGUAUAUACAUGUAUAUAUAUAUAUAUGUAUAUAUAUAUAUAUAUAUAUAUAUAUAUAUAUAUAUAUAUACAUAUUUAUAUAUAUAUAUACACACACAAACAUACAUACACACACAUGUACUCAGAGCAUGGGUGCAUGAUACUUUAUGUACGUUUGCACUUAGUAUUUCUACAUAUUUCUUGAAGGAUAACGCCAUCUUAUGGACUAUUUGUAUAAUGCGGGUGACGGGGGUUGUUUUGACUAUUCAUUCCACGAUUAUCUGUUCCAUUUUUGCUAACAUAAUUGUCUUCAAAUAUUCCAAAUUUCGGAAGAAUGUCCUAGAUCCGCAGGAAAGGGUCAACUCUGAAAAUAUCGUGGACUUCUAUUCACUGAAAUUCAUGACAUCCAGGAAAUAAUAAACACAAAUCAAUUUGUGUAAGAGAUUAUGAAACAGGAUAACCACUUGAUAUGCCAAGUGAUAACGAGACAAAUAGCUACAGAGAUUUCAUUGCGAUAAUACACAUAGCAUUCCUCGUAAUUGUUGGUUUGUUACAUAUGUUUAUAAAUAUAUAUUUCUGCGUGUGUAUAUGUGCGCGUGUGUAUAUGUGCGCGUGUGUAUAUGAGUGUGAGUGUAUGUGAAGUGUAUGCAUAUGGUAUUCAGAAAGUUUGUUUUUGGUAGAAUGAUUUAAAUUAAUGUUAAACCAAAAAUAUCUUAAUGUAAUCAAUUUUAAUGAAUUACGGGUGUCUGGAUAUUAUUUGCGUUAAAUAGUAACUCCUGUGUCUACUCUUGAGAAUUCCAUUGUUGAAUGCUUUUAAUUGUUGUUGUUGUUCUUGUUGCUGUUGAUGUUAUUGUUUAACACUUGGUCAACUUUUUCCAAGUAGACCUAUGGUCACAAAUAUUCCAGCUGUGACCAUCCAGUCUUUUUAAGAUUACGUCUAGGACUACAUUAUCCUUUUACUAUUUUAAAACACUUGGGUACGAUUUGAGAGUAAUUUUGUAACUACAGCGUAAAGGCUUUCUCGUUGGCACGUAAAUCUUGGUGUUUGUUCUGGUAAGUAUUUUUGUGGAAGUGAAAUAUUAGAAUGAGAAAGUAUUGGGAUGAUACACUGUUUUGGAGUGUACUUAGUGAAGUAAUACAUAAAUCUUGUUGCUAUUUAGCCUCUUGUCAUCGCUGGCCAAGAAGAUCGAUAAUCAAGGAUGUUACUCUUCGUGAUUAUCCCAUUUUUACGACCCUGACCUUCCUUUUUUAAGUACAACGUGACUACAGUAUGAAAAGGAUCAAGUCUUUGGCUUGUAUUGUAAUAAUGUAUAAUUUCGGUGUUAUAAUAGUAUCAUAAAUAUAGUGUAUGACAGCACGGGAGUGUAGCAUGUUGAGUGGCUCAAAUAUACUCAGCGGAUGUAAGUUUUUUGUCCAAAACUGCAAUUUAAUCCAGUACCUCUAUUUAUCACCGAUUCAUUUUUUGCUGAUUCAGGUAACAUGGUACAUCCGAUUGUGAACUGUGUUGCGCUUAUCACGAAUUGAUCUGUGAUAGCACGGCAGCGAUCAGUCAAAUAUUCUGUUCGGGCUGAAAAAGUGCACAACAACGACCAUCCAUAAUACGCAGGGCAACUUAGGGUAUUUGAGUAAAACCUAUCUUUCCCAUAUGUUCUAUUAUUCAUCUUAUCACCAAUUGAUUUAACAUGGUGUUUUCUUUUACUUUUGAACCCAGCAUCCGUGAUAAACGAGAUAAGAUAUAUAUCCACACUGAUAAUUUGAUUUUUUCGUUUCAUAGGAGCGGAGUAUUUCUCCCUGAUAUGUCAUAAGUAUAGCAACAUCGUCUCUGUACUACGGAAGAAUAUACAUUGACAGUUAAAUUGUGACUCCAACCAACAAAGCAAUUAUUUUUGGUUUCUUUGUGAACACAUUUUUUACUAUAACCCUUGCUUCCUAAUUCUAGAUUUAACCCCGCCCCCUCAAAAAAAAUGUUCUCAGUUAAUUUAAGAAAAGCUUAUUAUCCUUAACCUAAACAUAGGAUAUCAAAUGGCAGAAUCGUUAGAGCGUCAGAGAAAAAAAUUUAUGGUAUGUGUUCUGGAUUUUUACGUUCUGAGUUUAAAUCUCGUCGAGGUUAACUUUCCAUUUCAACCAUUCGGGGUCGAUAAAAUAAAAUACCAAUUAAGUACUGGAGUCAAUGUAAUCGAUUAAACCUCUGUUCCAAACCUGGGACUUGGUGUGUAUGUUAGAGACAAUCACACAUUAUCUCUGCCGAUAUAUAUAUAGAGAGAGAUAGCUAGACAGAUAGAUAGAGGAAGAUAUAGGAGGGUAAAUAAGUGGCAGAUGGAUAGAAUUCUUUAUCUAAAUAUUUUAAUUUCUAAUUUAACCCGCCCGCCUUCAUAUCAGAGGCAGCUAGCAAGCUAACCAAGUUACAAAUCCUUAUAUAAUCCUUCACGUGAUUCAGUGGUGAUACAACAUUCGUGCGAAAAUAUUUUCAUUUCAGAACUCGACAAUUCUAUCCUUUUCAAUGAAAGUUUGGCGCCAACUGUAAUCCGAUACACUCAAUAUUAAAACAAUCUGCAAAUAUUGUUCACAUUCAGUUACUUUGUUUUAUGCAUAUGAUCAUAUUUUCAAAUAUUCAUUUCUUAUGUUCUGUCAAACACCUAUAUAAUCCCACUUAGGAAGUUUGGGAUAUCGUGAUAUUCAAAUGUUUACUUACGUAUAUUUGUGUCUCUAAAAUAUCUGUUGACAUUUCCAUUGUUCUUGACUUGGUUAGUUUGGGUCAUAUAUCAGUACGUGACCAUGAAUUACACUCUUUCAGUUAGCAACUUGUGAACUAUUGAGAUACCUUAUCGUACAAAUAUAAGUCAAUGAACCUUACGAAUGUAAGAUUUCAUUCACUAUUACAAAAGCUAAAAGUUUGUUUGCUCAAUAAUAGGUAGAUACUACGUUUCAAACAUUUGUAGUAAUAUGUUGCGAAUUUUAAUUUAAACUAAGUUUAUUUUAACCUGGUUGUUAGUCGAUUACAGGACAAGAGAAUGCUUAUUUCUUAAUCAAAAUCGUUACGCUUCGCCCAAAUAAAAAAUUUUUAGUUGAUCGCGUCGACAAAAUAACCCACACACACUCUUGACAUAAUAGAAAAGCAAUGAAAGUUGACCUAGAGUGGUUCCUCAGCCUAAUGUCUUAGAAAUAGUCAACAGCUUGUUGACAAUAAGGACACCAAGUUGAAUAUAGAAAAUCAAUCUGGUAAUUAUAAAAUCAAUUAGCUUUAUAACAUAUCUUACUUUUAGCAGAACUGACUUUGACUGCUACUGCAAAACAUACUUGAAGAUAAUACAGAUGGCGAUAGUAGCUUGAUAAUUAGCCCCCCCACCCCCAUGUUAGAUCAUCAUCAAAACUCAAUACUUGUAACGUAUCGUAUCAAUACCAUUAAGACUAUAACCAAAAUUAAAUGUUGAAUUCAAUUCUACUGCGAACUUUCAGCCCUUUUUUCUGUCAGUAGAGGACUUAGACGAUAUCUAUCUAUGUGGCUGGGUUAGCCCGGUUCAAUGCAACUCUUCCGAGCCAGAUGUGCCGUUGUCCUAUGGCAGUCCUCAUAUCUUCAACUUGAUAUCCCCUGCCUUCCACCAAUUGAUCAAUAUAUGCUCUUCUUGUUCUGACGAUACAUGUAUGUUCACGCGUGGGUUCCCAGAGAAGGAGAUCACUGGAUAUUUCAUGCUUGCUUCACUAGAACACAUUGUGUAGGACAAUGCUGAGAAGCAAGUACUAAUAAGACUGAGGUUGUUGUUAUUUUGUUGGUUUGAAAUCUCUAGAAGAUUGAAAAAGCACGGUGUAAUAGCUGUGUUCAUUAAAAUUAAUUAGAUGAUCCCCUCCUAGCUUGUCACCAAAACAAAUGUCAAAGUAACCAAAUGCACAGCUUGGUUUCGAUUUUCAGAUGUUGUAAUUGCAUUUAAUUUAAACAUUUAAUGCCUUUGAUGAAGGGUUAGUUCCAUUUCUCUUAUUCAAAGUCAACAGAAUAAUUGACAUGUAAGUGGGUGAAGCUGACGAUGAAUAUUCAAACCGAAAAUAUAAACUUGUCAUGUUUAUUUUGCAUUUAUCACGAAUUUUAAAACAAUAUAAUGAAUGAGAAGAAUACAUUGUUAAUUUUAAUAUUUACGUUUCUUAGCAAUGCUAAUAAAACUGAUUAAAUAUAAAAUAUACCAUCAAAAUAGAUGUUGAUCACUUUUUAAUUUUUUUUUAUUUUGUUACUGUUUCAUAUGUUUCUCCCUUUCUUUCUUUCUUUCUUUCUUUCUUUCUUUCUUUCUCUCCCUCUCUCUUUCUCGCUCUCUGUCACCCUGCCACUUACUUUCUCUUUUUCUUUCUCUCUUUGCCUUUUCUAACGUCAGUAGUAGGGUCUGAGACCCUUGGACGUUGUUGGUUUCGUGCCACUUCUAUUUAUGCGCUUCCGAUUCAUUCAUCUCUCCUCCUUUCGAUACCUAUAUCGUAUUCGCCUGCACUCUCACACCAAACACUAAACUAACUACUCUGUUUUUCCUUCGCCCAGUUUCUCCUUCCUGUUCGAAUUUCUAGAGUUUCCUCCCCGCUCAAAUUUUUGUCUGGCAGUCAUCGACGUGCAAUUGUUAAAAAAAAAUAUCAACCAUAUUGAUCUCACCUUCCUCGAACAGCAGCAAAUGCCAUGGAUAAUCCCAUCCUUGACAAGGCCAUUAAAGAUAUUUAAAUAAAACCCACUCUUCUCUAAGUUGUGCAGAAUGGAGGUUUUGAACUCGGUACUGAGAGCUAAACAAGCACAACACAUGAUAAUUACUCAAUAAUCUAACUGAUAAAAUCUCUACGAAGUAAAUGCAUCUGUUUUGCGGGUUAUGGCAUUCAUGUUCAUGAUCCUAAAAUCACUAACUUAAUUUCUUCACCGGGCGACACGUUAUGUUCUUAGGCAAGGUAAUUCAUUUUACAUCGCUCAAACCUACUCAACUAUAAGGAGUACCAAUCCGGUGCUGAUGCAGCCCUCUCUUCCUUCAGCUGUCACAUACUCGAUGUUCCUCUAGAUCAAGGAUGAGUGGUCCGAGAAGGUGAACAUAACCGCAUAGACAACAAAACAAUUUGUGAAAGUAUAGUACAAUUUAUGAAGCUAUACUUGCUCAUGAUUGAUUGCUGGCUGAACGCUUUUAAAUUCAAUUCGAUACUCUUUAAAUUAGUUUCAAAGUUUGGCAGGAGGCCAGCAGUUUCGUUGAAGGGGUAAUUCGAUUACAUCGACCCCAGUACUCAACUGCUAUUUAUUUUAUCGAACCUGAAAUGAUGGAAGGUAAAGUCGCUCCCAGCGGUAUUUGAACUUAGAAUGUAAGGUCGGAAGAAUUACUGCGGAGCAUUUUAUCCGGCGCGGUCACGAUUCUAUCAGUUUGCUGUCUUCGAACCUUUUAAAAGAAAACUGUUAUAAUGUCAGUUAAUAAUUUAGAACCGGAAACAGCACAACGCUAUUGAUGAAAUUCUGGUUCAUUAUUCGGCAAUCCGAUACAAUUUGAACUCGGAGGACUACGAAGUCGCAGUACAUUUCUUUUUGUAAACGAAAUAGUUUCCUUUCAAAAUACGUCUAUAUUUAUCUUCCUUUCAUAGUCUUCUAUUGUAAUGUAACACAUAUACUCAACUAAUUGUACAUGCAUUGAAUACAUUGAAAUAAUAACACAAGCAAGGUAGUUAUUCAUUCAGAGAUAAUUAUAAUGUAUAAAAUAUGUUGAAAAUGCUGACCAGAGUAUGAUAAAAUAUACAAAAUAAUACUUGAGUAUUAAUACACAACUCAAAUUGUGAUCUACGAAAGAAACAUCUACAAUGAAGCGCAAAAAUUCUGUUACUUUGUUCUGAGAUAUAAUUUUAGGUUGAGCUUGAAAAGAAAUAUGUCUCAGUAUUUUCCCACUGAGCCUGAACUUUGAUCUACCUAUAUUCCUUCAUUAGUAAAUGCUUAUCUUUGCAAGUAUAUUAAAGUGGAGGCACAUGACCGAGUGGUCAGAGCAGCGGACUCGCGGUCGAGGGAUCGCGGGUUCGAAUCUCAGACCGGGCGAUGUGUGUGUUUAUGAGUGAAACACCUAAGCUCCACGCGGCUCCGGCAGAAGGUAAUGGCGAACUUCAGAUGACGUUUUCGCCACAAAUUUCACUCUUUCCUCCUGCAUAUUGUAGCUCAUCUGCGACGGACUGGCGUCCCGUCCAGGUGGGGAACCUACACACCAAAGAACCCGGGUGACCGGCCCUUAUGAGCCAGGCAUGGCUCGAGAAGGAACAAGUAUAUUAAAGUUGUGCACUCGGCAAUUGACACAUUUACAGUAGCAUGACAAGUUAUUGUCUAGUAACUUAAAAUUGAUCCAGAAUGCCUACAAACAAAAACGUUCUGAGACCAUCAAGGGCUACAUUAUUCAAUGUGACGUUCUUUUUUAUGAAAAUAGGAUGUGAUUUGAGGGAGAGUUUUUGCUAUUAUUUCUAGUAGAUUGAAUGACUGCGUAGAUACGUUCUUGUUAGUUUGUUGGCAAUAUACAUUCAUGGUAUUAAGCUACCAGAGACUCUCUUUGACUCAUAAUACGACAUCUUCACUAAGAUGUUCGGAUUAUAUAUAUUUGUUGGUCGAAUUGGUAAAUUUGUUUUAGACUAAUAUUUCUUUCUAAUAUGUAUGUCGUAAAGAAAAAUAAUUAGCUAUAAAUUAAAGAGUAGUUUGAUAGAUUAAAAUAGUCUUUUUCGCCUCCCUCUUUCGUUCCUCCACUCUCUCUUUAUAAUACAUACAUGCAUACAAACAUACAUACAUACAUACACGUGUAUAUAUAUCACAGCAUAAAAGUUUUCUCCGAGUUUUCUUUCAAGUCAACAAUUUAAUCUGAACAUUAACCAUAUUAAAUUUUAAAAAUUAUUCUUCGGUUGCAGUCUAGCAGGGAUUCAUUCAAUUGGCUAAGACCAUCGCUCCUAAGUGAAUUUUCUAAAGUGAAUAUGGGAAGAUAUGCUUUACGUUUUACUGCUGCAAAAGAAAAGAACGUUGUAUAAAUGGGAAAAGUCUUGAUAGCUUUCUACGUGGAGUUCAGAUCUUUAUUCGGAUAGUCACUAUAUCUCCUUAUCUAUGUCUUAUUAUAUAACGCUUCAUUCUGUACCCUCCCUUCUAACUACUACUACUACUACUACUACUACUACUACUACUACUACUACUACUACUACUACUACUACUACUACUACUACUACUACUACUACUACUACUACAGCUGCUGCUGCUGCUGCUACAACAAGCUUGCGCUAAAUGAUACUCGUACAUCACAAUGUACUGGAGAUAAAAGAAUCAAAUUUCCAACUCAGAAAAUUCUCCGAUUAUUAUUAUUAUUAUUAUUAUUAUUAUUAUUAUUAUUAUUAUUACUGGGUGCAUGCCAUCAAAGUGACACUGGGGUAAAAUAUACGAAGCCCAGUAUACCCAUCAUGACUACCGUCUGAUAAGGGUACGCUAGGCACAUUCAUCACAACCAUGUAUGCGCGACAUAUUGAUCUCAUAUCAAGAUAAACAACACAUGACCUUGCAGGUGGGGCCCAGUUAUAAUUUUCUUCAGGUCGAGUAACCCAUCCCGCUCAAAAGGUCCCUGAAUAAGGGUUGUUUAAGGAUGUUGAACGAAACACCCAUGUUAUUCAAACCUCAAAGAAUCCCUCUCAACACAUGGUUAUGAUGCUCUCCCACUUCUUCUGCUCACGAUCACCUUUGUUAGACAAGCUUUUCCGCAGCUUGUCUCCUUGACGGAGCUAAAGUCCUGGAUCAGGCGUAGAUCGAGGCAAGGCACUUGCCACCUAGAGUGUCGCCAAGCGCUCACAGCCAUCGGUCAGUCGGGUAAUGCGGUCGGUGGAAAUUCCACAUUGGAGUUCUAUAGCGGAUUAGUGGAGGGCAAGAGCGACGAAGAUAUCGGAGAGACUCUGGGCGUUGAGAGGGAUCAACUGGCUGGUCUCUUCCGGAGGAUUUUCGGGCCGGGACCUAUCGAUAAUUUCCAAAAAUCUCUGGCCUGACAGUGCUACCGGGGGCGCUGCCGGUUCGUGGUAAGAUCUACAGGCACGGAUUUGCAGUCAGAUAGUCUUGUCCGAGGUGCAUGCGGAGCGAGGGAGGCGUUCUGCAUGAACUAGUACAGUGUCCACUCAUUGCUGACUUGUGGAGCUUCGUCGAACAGUUAUUGCCACGUGUAGGACGGAUCUGGAUUUUGUCCGUGUCUAUCGUGUAAAUUGCCCUGCCUCCUUCCUUUGACCGUGAAAUAAAGUCAGUUUUCCUCUGUCUGGUGGCUAUGACGAAAGAAGUUGUAUGAUGGGCGCGAUUGAAAAGGUUGAAGAAGAGUACCUUCCUCCUUGACCAAUGCCUCAUUCACUUUUUCAGGUUCCACCUGAAAAGGAAGGUGAGACUGGGGAGGGAGGUGCUGUCACCUAGUAAGUGUGUCGAGAGGUGGGUGAAUGUAGCAAGGAUGGCCCGUGUGAAUGGGCCUGCGGGUAUUGAUAUAUCAAUUAGAAAGCAUUUUUUUCCUUCAUGUUCUCUGACAACUAUAUCUGACAUAUUGACCUUAAUUUCUCUAUCUCUGUGUAUUGGCAUAUCCCAGAGUAUGGUUGCUUUCUCGUUUUCUGUGACCUUUUCUGGUGUGUGCCUAUACCAUCUUUUUACUGUUGUUAUUCCAUAGUGUUGGCAUAGCUUGCAGUGUAUGUAGGUCCCAACUCUGUCGUGUCUGUGAAUAUAUUCCUUCUUAGCCAGGACUGGGCAGCCAGAGAUAAUAUGAUUUAUUGUUUCUUGUCCAUCUACACAUAUUCUGCAGUUACUUGUUAUGUUUCUUUUCAUUAUAUGUUUUUGGUAAUUUCUGGUGGGUAGGCUUUGGUCUUGUGCUGCAAAUAAAAAUCCCUCAGUCUCUGCUUUGAGUCCUGAGCUUCUCAACCACUGCUGGGAUUUUUUCUGUUUAUUUCUUUUGAAUUUAGUUUAGCUCAGUAUUUGCCAUGAAGGGGCUUUUCUUGCCAUCGUUUUAUCAUGGUCCGUUGCUGUUCUAGUUUUGGUUUGGAUUUCAUUUGUUUUAUAGCUUGUGUUGUUUCUUCUUCUUCAUAUUUGUUAGGUAGUAUGAUUACUUGUUUGUAUUUGUCAGCUUGCUUAAAUACUGAGAACAGUUUUUUGUUUUGCUCGUGUUUUGUAGCUAUUUGUAUUAGGUUUCCUUGCUUCUGAAGCAGGUAUCUUUUCAGUCCUAUAGUGGUUAUUUUAUAAUAGCUUUCCAGCUGUAUAAGGCCUCUACCAUCUUCUAUAUGUUGUAUAUAUAGCCUUUCUAUGUCAGAUUUUGGGUGGUGCAUCCUGGAUGCUGUCAUUAGUUUUCUUGUUUAUUAUUAUUAUUAUUAUUAUUAUUAUUAUUAUUAUUAUUAUUAUCAUCAUCAUCAUUUUUCAGGAACUGAAAGGUGGCGAGCAGGCAGAAUCAUUAGCACGCUGGACGAAGUGCUUAGUGGUAUUUCGUUCUGGAUUCAAAUUCCGCCGAGGUCGACUUUCAGUGUCGAUAAAUUAAGUACCAGUUACGCAAUGGGGUCGAUGUAAUUGACUGGUCCCCUCCCCCAAAAUUUGAGGCCUUGUGCCUUCAGUAGAAAGGAUUAUUAUUCAGAGACUGAGAAAUACAUUGAAAGUUUCAUCAAGCACGAUAUAGCACAAAUAUGUUCAAAGAUUAACAAAUAUUACUUGUGGAUAUCUUUAUUAAUCAAUUCUUUGCAGUAUUUAGUUACGGCCAUGUAAGUUCUGAAUUCAAAUCCAUCCGAAUUCAAUUUUACCAAACCAUCCUUCCAGGAGUCGAUAAAAUAAGAGCCAGGCAAGUAUACUAAAUAAAUUUCACAGUUUGUGCGUAAGUUAGAUAUUGAAAGUGUUGAGAAGCUUACUUCUCAACCACAUGGUUCUGGGCCCAGUGACACUUUGGGCUAAUGUAUACUACUAUAGACUUGAGCAGACCAAAGCCUUGUGAGUGACGUUGGUAGACGGAAACUGAAAGAAGCCCAUCGUCCAUAUAUAUAUACAUAUAUAUAUACAGGGUGCGGUGAAUAUAUUGCCGUCUAAAUUACGCAAAAAGGAAAAUAACAGUGACAUCUUAUUUUACCAAAACUACAGAAAAAUAUCUUCAAAUACUAAAGCGUAAAUUUAUUCAAUAAAAUAGCCAUUGGUUUCAACCACGGCCUCCAGACAACUUCAGAAUUUCCUGUGCUCUUCUGGACAGUCUCCUUGUUUAAGUUGGUGAAUGCUGCCAUAAUCCUUGCCUUCAGUUCAUCUUUGGUGUUACAAGGGGUUUUGUUGGUCUCUCGCUCAACUGCACUCCGCACAUAAUAAUCAAAGGGAUUGCAGUCUGGGGAGUUAGGUGGCCAGAUGUUAGGGGUGAUGUGGUCGCAGAAAUUGUCAGACAGUCCUGACUGCGUUCUCCUGCUUGUGUAGCAUGGUGCAGAGUCCAGUUGCCAGAUAUAAAGUCUUCCAGCAGCUACCCUCUUAACCUAGGGCACCACUACCUCCUCCAGGCACUUGAUGUAGGCUUUCGUGUUGAAUGUGAGGCCAUGUGGGAAGAUGAAUGGAGGCAUAACGUCGCCAUUACACGUGGUGAUUCCAAACACCAUGAUGUUGACUGGAUGUUUGAUUUUUAUUUUUAUCACUCUCGGUACAUGUCUUCAGAUUGCACUGUCCUCAGAUUAACACCCAAACACUCUAAAAUGUUCUUAUUGGAGCUUUCGGCGCGAAUGUCAAGCAGCAUGUCGUUUCCAAAUUUCUGGCAGAGUGAAUUGCGUCAUGGGGCUGUUUUUCUCACAGACAGUGCCUAACUGAUCCUACUACACUGUGUAGUCGACAAAAUAUUUUAAAACGCGCAUGCGCGUUAUUGAAAAUAUAUAAUUGCGACAAUUUACCUAUUGCACUUUGUAUAUAUAUACAUAUAUAUAUAUAUAUAUAUAUAUGUGUGUGUGUGUGUGUAUAUAUAUAUAUAUUUGUGUGUGUGUGUGUGUGUGUAUAUACAUACAUACAUAUGUGUGUGUGUGUGUGUGUGUUUGUUCCUCACCACUGCUUGACAACCGAUGUUGGUGUGUUUAAUGAGUGAAACAAAUAAAAGAUUAAAAAAUUUGAAAAUUGUACCGAUGGGCACCUGGCACAAAAGAAAAGAAAAGAAAUCUAUGAUCUUUUUUAUACCCUCUCUACUUUAAUUAACAACUCAAAUUUUAUUGGCUAAUUCCUCGACGUCGCAACUUCUCGUUUUCUUUCCUCGAAAAUAACUAAAUAACUGACAUAUUAUGCCUCUGUUAGAAGCCAUUCCAAAAUAGUUGGCAACAAGAUUUAAUUUAUUGUGUUCGUCCAUUUGGGCAGGCGAUAAAUCCUAUCAGCACCAAUUCCUGACACCGAAGAGUAACCUACUAGACUAUCUGGCAUGUCUCUUUUCUUUCCUUUACUUCUUUUUUUAAAUUGGAAUAGUGCCAAUGUUAAUAAUAAAUUGAUUAAAGCCUUUAAACCUCACAUGUAUACUAGACUCUUGUACCAUUGCAUCAAUUCUCGGUGAAUUCUUCAUAUAUUAUUUUUUAAUGCCUGCCUUCUCACUCAAAGUAGACAGAGCAAAAUAGACACAAACUAAGAUGUAUAUAUAUAUAUACAUGUGUGUGUGUGUGUGUGUGCGCGUACGUGUGCAUGCGUGUGUACACAUACAAACAUACACAUAACUUACUUUCUUUGGACAUCAGCUAAAUGCAAGUUGUUUCUAUAGCUGAAUAACUGCUUUAUUUUCACCAUUUAGAAAAUAGCUAUUCUUUUCUCUGGAAUUUUAUUUUAAGUUAGUAAAGAUAUUUUCGCCUACUACGUCAAGCAUGCUAGCACCCACUUAACUGUUGAAUUUUUAUGCAGCAGGGCCCCAAUUGUGAAGUUGUCUUUAUCCUAAUGUUGUCAGACUCAUUCUCCAUUGUAUUCUGUAUCUUUUUUUUUUGCUAUAGUUUCAGCUCAUAGCUGCGGCCAUGCUGAUGCACCGCCGUUAAAUAAAUUUAUUUAUCUAAAUAAAUUUAAUUAAUUAAAACAUCAGUAUUUUCUUCCCUGCCUUUAAUUCUUUUUUCAUGACUAAAAUUGUAAAUUUAAAUGAGCUAAAAUUUUCUUGGUUUUCUACUUCAUGCAUGCAAUCGACAUCGUUGCUAUUAACCGUUAGUUAGACAGAAAACCAUCUUGUCUAACAAGUGAUUAGUUUUGAGAGUUUGUAUUCAAAAUAAAACAAUUACAGUGUGGAAGACUCGUUUUAGCCAUUCAAAUGCACACAGAAACUGUUGACUUCAGUUAAUUAUAGUUCCACUGCAAGUAGAAUUGUUUAAGUGAGCAGAUCGCAGACAGCACUGCGAGAAUUUUGACACCAAGUUGAAAAUGAUCUAGUGAUGUUAAUAUUUUCAGUGUAAUUUUUGAAUGGUGAAAAUGGGUCUUCCACAGUGUACUAGUCCUGAGAUAUUAGUUUUGUGUCUUUGUGCAGUGCAGGUUCUGAUUUAAAUAGGUAAAGUAGUCGGGGUUGUUUAGUGCACAUCUACCUCUGGAAAUUAAAAUAUAUUCAGACGUAAAGUGAAUGGUUAUAUAUACAUCUAUAUUCCAACUCAUUCAACUACAAUUGCAAUUCUGGAUAGACUAAUUCACAUUUUAUACAAAAUCUUUGUUUUUUCAGUUAAGUUAGCAUGUCGGUAUUUCUUCCUUCUUUACGUUCUGAAUUCAAAUACUGCCGCGGUAAACUUUGCUUUUCAUCCUUUCAGGGUCGAUAAAAUAAAGUACUGGGGUCGCUAUAAUUCCAAAAUUUGAAGCAGUUAUAAAGUGGUGAGCUGCCAGCAUCUUUUGCACUUCGGACAAAAUUCUUCCGACUCAUUACGUUCUAAGUUCAAAUUCCACUGAAUUUGACUUUACCUUUCAUCCUCUCGGGGUCGAUAAAAUAAGUACCAGCUGAGCAUUGGGGUCGAUAUAAUCAACUAGCUUCCUUCCCUAAAAUUUCAGGCCUUUUACUUAUAGCAGAAAGGGGAAAAAAUGCAUAACCACAUAUCAUAUUGUGCAGAAAUUAGGUAGAUAGGUCAAAAUCGUAUUAUUUGAAACGAGAAACAAUUUUUCAUAAAUAUACAUGGAAGCUGGUUGAAACUGUAGAGUGUCACAGAGAAUCAGUGACAUCAGUUUCUCUAAUAAAAAUAUAGAACAGAGCAUUCAUAAUUUUCGACGAGGAGAAUUGUUAUAUUUAAUCUUAUUUAUUCUAUAAAAACAAACUGGUUCUAAUUCAGGAAUAGAAACAUAGUACUUGGCUUAACAUAACGAUCUUUCUUAGGACACUUUCAAGGAUGAAACAUUCAAACAGUUAGAAAAUUAUUUCAAUACCUCAAGCUAAGUUAAACAAAACAUGAGGAUAUGCCACUGUUAAAAAGUGAUUAUGUGAGUUUGUGCACGAUAUGAUGCAAUUGUAUAUCUUCAGUGAAUCUGCUUUCCACAACUGCUGAAACGAUAAUUAUGAUAGCUGGUUGGUAAUUUUGUAAUUAUAUAGGAUUGUAAAAAAACUCAUUCAUCAUAUGUUAAUAUACACAUACAUACAAACACACACACACACACACACACACACACACACACACACACACACACACACACACACACACACACACACACACACACACACACAUACACACAUACACAUAUAGGGUGUUUGAGAUAUAUGUAAGUUUGCAUAAAAGGAAAAGAAAACAUGAUAUCCCAUCCAAAAAUCAAUAAGAAUAUUUUGAAAUAUGAACUAUAUUAUGGCUGGGAGAUAAAUAGUUUACUCAAAGUUGCUGCCCUCGGUGUAUGCCCCUUAAUUCUGUCCCUGAGAAGGUCUUUGAACACUUCCUUGAUCUUAGCCACUAGCUUGACCUUGGUGUUGCAGGUAGAGCGGUUGGUGUCUUUCUUGACCGCACCCCUCAUAUAGUCAUCCAUAGGAUUACAAUUGAGAAAAUUAGGAGGCCAGAAAUUGGGGUUGAUAAAAUCGGAGAAAUUCUCUGUCAACCACUUCUGACUCUUUUUGGAGGUAUGGCAUGGAGCUGAAUCCUUCUGUCACACAUAUAGCCUUCCAACAGCAACCAGCCAGGGUUUGACACGAUUUACAACUGCUUCACAUUAUCAUUGAGCCUGAGGCCCUGUUCAAAGAUAUGAGACUACAUGACGUCAUCCUCCCUGGAGACACACUCAGAGAUCAUAAUAUCUUAGGAAAAAUUGGUUUGCAUAUGUCAGACAUUACAUGGAUUGUUCUCAAGGCACCUAUUGUUCUAGGUGUUGUGCAACCGGUCCUGGCAUAACUUCUUUUCAUCAGAGAAGAACUCCGGUUCGACAGGAUACCUCACUUAGUUCAGGAGCGUCUUUACCUUCUUGAAGUAGUUCUGUUCGGCCUUGGCUCUCAGAAUUUGUCCCUUGCACCUCUUGUACGAGUGGUAGCAAAUGUCCUAAUACAGAGCCAGCUUCAUGGUGGUGACUCCAACACCUAUCUCUUUCACUAAAGCCCAGAUUACCGUGCUCAGAUUUUCCAUUACAUUGUUCUGCAAUUGUUGGUUGAAGUCUGGCGUACGGACGUAGUCAGAACGUCUGCUGCGUCCUUUCUUACUGACCACGGUUUCGUAGUAAUCGCUGUAGCUGUCCAUAUCACACAGUCUUUACGGUGUCACAGUGGUCACAGAGCAUUGAGCAGUAGUCAAGGUGUUGGUAUUUUGAUACUCAAUGCGAAUCAUGAUGAUACGGGUAACUUUUUUCCAAAAUUCAAGUGGUUUCCUACCCUCCAUGACAGCUAACUUUUUCUCAACUAAAACUUUCAAUAAUCAUUAUGCUCUUUAACGCCGUUGACUAUCCGCUAAUACAUCAAGUUGUUCUUGAAAGAAAGGAGACAUAAAAAAUCGACCCAUACAAUCUUCAAAUAUAUUUGCGCAGUGUUGUUAUAAAUUACUUUAUAAAUCAUCUUUUCUUAACUAUGGCAUACGAAUUUAACCAAAUUUUCAAACUAUACUAAAUAGCUUUUCCAACGCUGAUUCACCUAUGUUUCCACAAACUCCGGUUCCUAUUAAUUGAAAUAUUAGGUUGUCAAGAAAGUUCUUGCGGUUUUUAACCUUUAAAUUCAGAAGCAGAUAUCUCGGCUCAAACAAAACUUUAUUAAUCGAAAUAAACACCAUCAGAAUCAACACACUUUUGCGAAAGCGAAACAAGUUUAUUUAUGCCAUUAGCGUAAAAAUCCUACAUUCUGGUGGCGAGGAAGUCGUGUUUGGCAUCGUCUUGGUUUUUUAAGCAUUUCUCACGCAGGAAGUUGUCGAGAUGCUUGAAAAAGUGGUAGUCGGUAGGCGAGAGGUCUGGUGAGUAUGGCGAAUGAGGCAGAGUUUCGUAACCCAAUUCGUUCAACUUCUGCAGGGUCAGGUGCGACAUGCGGCCGAGUGUUGUCGUGGAGAAGAAUUGGUCCUUUUCUAUGGACCAAUAAUGGCUGUUGUUGUUGGAAUUUCUUAUGCAUUUCAUCCAUUUGCUGACAGUACUUCUCUGCCGUAAUGGUUUCGCCUGGAUCCAAAAAUCUGUGAUGGAUAAGACUGGCCGCAGAUCGCGAAACAGUCACCAUGACCUUCUUUUGGUGCAACUUUGACUUAGGGAAGUGCCGUGGAGCUUUGUCGGCGUCCAACCAUUGAGCUGAGCGUCGCCGGUUGUCGUAAAGAAUCCACUUUUCAUCACGUCACAAUCCGGUCGAGAAACGGCUCGUUCUUGUGGCGUAAAAGAAGGGAAUACAACACUUCAAAAUAACAUUUGUUUUUUAGUUGCCGUUCAAUUCGUGCAGCACCCAUUUCUCAAGUAUUUUUGUUUUUCCAAUCUCUUUCAAGGAAAUUGUCGUAUACGUUACGUCCAAUUCAGAAGCAAGCUCUUGAACAGUUGAGCGUGGAUUGGCUUCGACUAAGGCUCUUAGUUGAUCGUUGUCAGCAUCCGAUGGCCGACCACUACGCUUUUCAUCUUCAAGACUCUCGUCACCGCUACGAAAUUUCUUGAACCACCAUUGUGCUGUACGUUCAUUAGUGGUUCCUGGGCCCAACGCAUCGUUAGCUUUUUCAGCAGCUUUUCGGCCUAGCUUGAACUUGAAUAAGAAAAUUGUGCGAAUUUGCUUUUUGUCCAUGAUGUAUUCAACGUUCCGGAAAAAUGGCCUAAUUAUUCCAAAAAAAUAACACGAUUAGAUAGAGCGAAAAACAGGCUUUAAAACGAUAUAUAAAGUCAAAGUAAUUUAACGAAAAUUAAUUUGAAAAUAUAUCAUUUAAAACCAAAAUUAAAAAUUCCGCAAGGACAUUCUUGACAACCUAAUAUUUGUACAUUUUACUGGUUUUACAACAAAUGUGGUUUAUUUCGAUAAUAAAUUUAGCUGGCCAUUACUGACUAAAUAAUGCAGUAAAAGUUGGCCAAAUUUGAUCAACAUGCUUUUGAUAAACAUUUCAAAUAUUUUGAUGACAGUAUUUGAGUUAAAACAUUUAUUUAGGUUAAUUUAUCUUUAUGUUUGCUAAUAAUUGCAGAAAAUUAAUUUUUAAGCGUUAAACAAACGUGAACCAAAAAGAUGUAUCCUGAUUUGUUGAUUACCAUUUUAGAAAAAGAAUUGUUUGCCAUAAAACAUGUAAGAAAUAUUGAUACAUCUCCCCAAAAUGGGAUGUUUUAUUUAUGAAAGGAAUUUUUUUCCAAAUGACUUAGUUCCUCCUCUUCUCGAACUUUAUACAUUAUUAAUCAUUGAGGAAACUCAAACCAGCAUUUACAUGGAAAAUACCAAGCGGCUGGUCAACCAACAAUAAUACAAUUUGGGUAACUGCCUUCUAUAAUAACCUUGGAUCAACGUACACUUGGAUGAAAUUUAGAAUAAAAAUUUAAAACAAAGGAGACUGCUCAACUAUUGAAUUUUAAUUUCCAACCUAUGAUCAGAGAUUCUUAGAUGUAUUCCAACUGAGAAUUUCGCUUCUAUGUUUUAUGUAGAGGGUUAAUAUAUGAAAUAUCAAUAAUACUUUUGAAAAAGAAAGGAGUCGUGUUAUUUAAAAGUAGAAUCAAGCACCACUUCUGAAUCGUAGUAGAUAAUAAUAAUGCUGACAUAUAAAAGCUGUACUUGACUAUUCAACAUGUAUAUAUUAAAUUAUUAAAUAAAUCACGUUAUUAAUUGCAGCUGAUGACAGAAUGGUCAUAUUUGUGCACAGAUACAUAAGCAUAUGAAUAGGCUUUACUAAAUUAUUGCCAGAGUUUUUAAAUGAACAGAUACCAAAAUUAUCAGACAUAAAUACCAUGUAUGUUAGACAAAACACACAUGCAUAAAAUUACGUUUCACUUUUAAAAUCUUAUUUGCUUAACAUUCGAAAAUUUUAUGGGUAUUCCUUAAUAAUCCACUAUUUUUAUACUGAGAGCAUAUGGUAAAUUUUGAACAAAGAACGUAUUGUUCUGGAACAGUAAUGUGUCUAUUCAUUUAAGAAAGUAUAUGACAACAUUUUAAAGUAUAUUUUCGGACACAUAUGUCUAGAAUUUUAAAAUUUCUUUUAUAUAUAAUGUAACUAAUAAAACGUUAACUACUUCCAAGUACAAUAUUAUAUGAAACUAAACAAUAGUUACAAUAUUUAGUAACUUAGUCAGAGGAGAAAAAGCAGCACAAUGACCUUUUUUCCAGGGGUCCGAGAUUAGUGGGAAGAAGAACGAUGUUACCCUCAGAGCUAAGACCUUACUGAAUAUUGUAAGAGAGUGUACUCUAGGGAAAGCACAAAGGACAUAUGAUGAUGUUAAACUUAGUGAUAUGUUAAAUUUACUAUCCACCAACAGAAAUGUUCUGCCUCCAUCUGUCCUGAUCCCACAGUUUCCCGUUUACAGAAUUUCACGUUUUUCAUAGCCACGGAUAAACCCAGGGCAAUAUUAGAAGACAUUUGCCUAAAUUUAUUGGGAAAUUUAUCCGUAAAGUACUAUCAAUUGUAAACAUGUCUCUCAAUAUAUUUUUUCCAUUUAGAUAUGUUUUUUUCUCCAUGUUCAGUCCCGGUGGUAUGAGGAAUUGCAAUGUGAAUAACAAAUGAAACAUUAACGUUUCUGCUAGCUCAUCGUCCUUCUUGCAAUUUUAAGAAAUGUAUACGUUUUAUACAGAAAAUAAUUGCGAUACAUACACACACACACACACACACACACACACACACACACACACACACACACACACACACACACACACACACACACAUACACGCACACACACACAUAUAUUAGCUUACUCUCUCCAUCAAAUCGACGUUGUCUGAACAAGUGUACUUUGUAUCAGUGCGUCAGGUGUCGAAGUGAUCACAGAGUAACGUGAGACGGAGUUUUUAUUUAAGAACACAACGCAUCACCCUGUCUAGCAAUUAGAACCACGAUCUCGCGAUCGUGAGGGCAACACCCUUAGUAUUAGAAAUUUUUGUAGGUUUACCGCUACGUCCGUGUGUGAGUGAGUAUCAAGUGACAAUUUUUAAUGUCGUAAGUUAAGGCUGACACGGUUGACUGAACAUGUCCAAACAAUCAAUGCUCUGAAUGGUUUCUGUCAAUUGUUUGUAGACAAGGAACAAAUGAUUAUGUUUAUAAACUUUUGUACGUUUCCCGCUACGUCUGUGCGUUAAUGUCACAUGACAGUAUAUUUUGUGCCUAAAAAGAAGUUCGACACGGUUGAAUGAACCUUUUUUUGUUAUAUUCAAGGCACUCUGAAUUUAAUCUGUCAUGCGGGAGAUUGGACAGGAGUCGUUUCUAUGUAGUCCAGUGGCUAAAGUUUAGGUUGUUAGCUGUGUAGGUUCCUCGUGAUAAGUGGCAGAAUGAAUUUUGUGUAUGAAUAGUUAUUUGUGCAUGUACUCUGUUAAAGUUUGUUAAGUCUUGGUUUGUCCUUUUGUAUGAAAGUAUUUCAUUGUUUAUCCGUGCUUCAUCUGUGAUAUUCACUGAACAAAGGUAGAGUAGGAAGAUCUGGAAUUUGGAGGACUUAUCUUUUGCAUAUAUGUAUGUGUGUCCACUCAGUGGAAUCUGUCAAGUACUGGGGUCUUGUAUUUGUUGUCGGUGAAUCGUCAGUCUAUUUCUUAGAGUAAACUUUGUUUGACCUAUGUAAUCUUCAUUACAUCCUUGACAUUUGAUAGCAUAUAUUAUAUUGACUGAAGAACAUGUAAAGUGAUUUUUACGGUAAAAACUGUCCUGAUUUGGAUUUGUAUGUUGUGUCUUCAAUAAGGACGAUGCAGGUACCACAAUUGGGGCUGCCACCAUUUUUAACUGUUGGUGAAGCUGUUGUGGAAUAUGAUUUAGCACUUGUGGGAAAAUUUUUGAGGGACUUUGUCUUUUACUUUUGAAUAUCAUGUGUAUUUCACACAUACGUAGAUAUUUGUAUGAUGAUGUAAAUGUUUCUACUGGGUUAUUUGGAUAUAUUCACUAUGGAGACGCUCUGUUUGCUCUAUCAUAGCAUGCAACAACCAUACACGGUAUUAAAUCCAGAUAACACUUAGUUGGCCCCCAACAACAUUUUUCAUAGUUCACAUCUAGUGCUCGUAACGCUUCAUCAACCAAGAGGAGAUGGAAACUUCAAUGAAGCAGUUCUUUGCGUUGAAGGACAAGAACUGCUAUCAACGUGGGAUCAAAGAACUGGCAGAAAGGUGGUUUCAGACGGUGUAACACAAUAGCCUCUACUUGAAUGCUUGGCUGCUUUUAUUGUAACAUACAUACAUACAUACAUACACACAUACAUACAUACAUACAUACAUACAUACAUACAUACAUACAUACAUACAUACAUACAUACAUACAUACAUACAUACAUAUGUGUGUAUGUGUGUGUGUGUUUGUGUGUGUGUGUGUCCAGCAUGAUCGCAGCUUCAUGGCUGAAAGGAAUAAAAGAAUAAAAGAAUAUAUAUAUAACUUACUGUUAUAUAUAAUAAAAGUCGGGAUGUAUGCCGUUCAGUUACUCAAUAACUAAAAAAUGCAUUAAAUAAACAACGACAGCUAAAAGACGUACAUGAGGGCAGACACAAAAGGCCCUAAUUCUUCAUCAGUUAUCAACUGAAUGGUAAUGCUCAGUUCCAUGUCUUUAAUGAUAAUACUGAGGACUUCGCAUAUGGGCGGCAUUCGCAAAAUUAGGGCUUCGAGCGAACAAAACGAUACAGAGUGGACGUAGGAAAGUAAACAAAUGUAAUUUAAGACGAUUGACAAAGACGAAAUAAGUGUCUGUCCUACGUGUACGCUUUUUAGCUAUCGUUGUUUAUUUAAUGCAUUUUUCAUUUGUUGAGUAACUGAACGCCAUGCCUCCCGACUUUUGUCAACAGUAAGUUUUUCAUAUAUAUAUAUCUUUUGCGACUCUAUCCUCUAUCUUCCUUUUUCUCUCUCGUCCUCUCCUUCUAUUUCUAGCAUUCCCACUUCCUCCUCUUUGCCUCUCUCAUCCUCUCACUUGUAAUUGUAGACUUUAUCGCUUCCUCCUUCCUUGUUCUCUCUGCCGCUCUCUUAUCCUCCUUCCUCUCUAUCUACCGUUCACACAUGACCUGUGACCAAUUUUCCCAUUUCUCUGCCUUUUUCGCACCGGACGUUUAGCUAGCCGGUCGAUAUCUGUCACUUCUCUUGCUACUAGUCUUCCAGGCGUUACCCAUCCAUCCUGUCUUUUGGGCCGAAAGGCCGUAUUUUUCUCGUCUACAUAUUUUUCUUGUCCACCUAUUUAUUCCGUCUUUGUCAAGCAUCUUAAAUUACAUUUAUUUACUGUCGUACUUCACUCUGCAUCGUUUUGUUCGCUCGGAGCCCUAAUCCUCCGCUAAUUUUGCGGGUGCCGAUGAUAUGUGAAGUUCACAAUAUUAUUAAAUGCAUGAAACUGAGUAUUACCAUUCAGUGUACAUUUAUUUAGCUAUCGUUAUAUAUAUAUAUAUAUAUAUAUAUCACUCUGAUCACUCUGAUCACCGUGACCGACCAGGCUAUCAGAUGUUGCUACACAUCGCUUGUCACAAUGCGCUUCGCAUUGUUUUAGCCUUUAAAUGACGCCACCCCGCUGGCUAAGCGAGUAGGCGAACAGAAGAAAGAGUGAUAGAAAGUUGUAGCGAAAGAGUACAGCAGGGAUCGCCACCACCCCCUUUCGGAGCGACGUGAAGCUUUUAGGUGUUUUCGCUCAAUAAACACUCACAACGCCUAGUCUGGGAAUCGAAACCACGAUCCUACGACCGCGUUUCCGCUGCUCUAACCACUAUGUAUAUAUAUAUAUAUAUAUAUAUAUAUAUAUAUAUAUAUAUAUAUAUAUAUAUAUAUAUAUAUAUAUAUACUGAGUGAGAGAGACACAGGGAAAUGAAAGAACAAGCACAGAAAAAUCAUUUUUAUUAACUGCAUGAUUCAUGUGUUUAAUAUGACCUCCAAUGUAUGGGACGUAUGUAUGUAUUUUCUUGAUAUUUAUUUAAAUUCUUCACAAAGUAACAAGGCUUCUUUGUUUCAGUCGAGAGGAUUUGUGAAUAUCAGUUUAAACGUGCAUGUAUGUGUUUGUUGUUAUUUUGUAGGUAUUUACGUAAUUACUAAUUCCCUUGUACGCAACUAGUCGCUGAACAUGUCACUUUAAUAUUUAUUUCUCUGUUUUUCUGUUUAUCUAUGUUUCUUUUUUUAAUUAUUUGAAUUCUUCCUACGAAGAAUGAUCUAGUUUCUAACAAGGAAACAAAACUUCAUCGCAGGAAUUGGGAUAAUGACGAUAAGUGUUACAUGCUGAAUUUUAGAAUAACCUUGCAUAUUUAUGCUGUCCCGCCUACAGAUUGCAUUUGUAAAAAGCGAGUUUGCUGAAAUUACUUGUUUUGCAGAUUGUCACUUAAACGUUUACAUCAGUGUAAGUGCUCCAAUAAUUAUUUGUUUAAAUGUAAAUUUAUAAUCAGAGUAGAGAAGCUGCCUGUUUCGAAGCAUUUGUCAGUAAAUAUUUUCUCAUCGAUGAUUUUGAAAGUGUCAGGUCAUCCCAUAAGUUCUGUCCGAUUUUACCUUUUUUAAAAUUGAAUGAAAUCUAAUAGUAUUUUAGAAUGUCUAAUGGAAUUUUAAAUUAUUUUUAUGCAUUUGUGUACAUUUAAACUAAUUAAAUAUUAUUUUACAGAAUAAUAGAAUUAAAAUUUCUUUGAUUAAAACCCUUUCUAACAUGAGAGUAUCCAAAAUGCAUUUGAGGCACAAAAAAGGAAAUUCUGCAGCCGAAGUGACUCGAAACACACUCAGUUUAUGGGAAAGAAUGUUUGAAUGAAAGAACUUGCAGAAGAUGGUUUGCAAAAUUCAGAAGUGGAGAUUUCAGCCUUGAAGAUGAAGAUCAAACAGGAGGUUCAGUUGAGUUUGAUGAUAAGCUCCUUGAGGCAUUACUUGAAGAAAAUCCUGCAUUAUCAGUUGAAGAAUUGGCAAUAAAGCUUGGUUCAAACCAUACAACUGUUCAUCGUCAUAUUAAAUAACUUAGAAAGGUUCUUAAACUUGGAAAAUGGGUGCCUCAUGAAUUGUCCGAAAACAACAGAAAAUCCUGAGUUGACAUCUGAUCUUCUCUCCAUUCUAUCGAACUCAUUUCACCCUUUUUGGAUAGACUUGUGACUGGUGAUGAAAAAUGGAUCUUCUAGCGAAAUCUUAAACAUCGUAAACAAUAGCUUGGUAAGAGGUUAAAAGCUCAACCACAACCGAGAAGAGAACUUCCUGGGGAAAAGGUUCUUUUCUCUAUUUGGUGGGAUUGCAAAGGAGUAAUUCACUUUGAAUUGUUACCACCUAAUGCAACAAUCAAUGCUCAAGUCUACUGUCAGCAAUUAGAGCGUUUGAACCAAGCUUUGAAGAAAAAAAGACCCGCUUUAGUGAAUCGAAAAGGAGUGAUGUUUCAUCAAGGCAAUGCGCGACCCCACACUGCAAAGAUCACAUCACAGAAGAUAAAAGAGCUUGGCUGGGAAAAAAUUCCUCAUCCCCCUUAUUCUCCCGACCUUGCUUCUUUAGACUACCAUUUGUUUCGUAGUUUACUGGAUCAUUUGGGGGACAUAACUUUCGCAAGCCAGGAGGAGGUCGAAACUGACAUUUCAGUUCUUCGCUUUGAAACCGAAAGAGUUUUACGAUGAUGAGAUUAAAAAGCUUGUAAAUAGAUGGAAGGGAGUCAUAGAUAAUCAGGGAAACUACAUUGAUGAUUAAAUUUCAAUUAAAUAUAACAUUUGGUCACUUGUUUUCUUUAUUCAAAAUUCGGACAGAACUUAUAAUAAUACUCACAUCCGCAGGACGUCCUGACCUCAAUGAAUAUAUAUGAUUUUACUUUUCUAUCCCAAACAGCUACGACAGAUCUUUUAUAUAUGUACUUAGUAGAAGUUUUGAUGGAAAAAUUCCACUAAUAUUCAGAGGUUUAAUGGAAAUGUUCUAUCUGUAUUCCACCAAUAUUCCCAGAUUAAUUGUAAAUGCCAUCAUUUAUGUAUUCGAUAAAAGUGACAUUGCCUAUAUUUUUAUCAGAACGGUCUUUUCUAUGAAUGGCAUUGUAUAUUGUCUCGGCAAUAAUGUAUGAAUAUAUGUAUAUAUUUGUAUGUAUGUGUAUAAUCACGUGUGAGGAUUUGUAUACAUUUCUUCUCGGAUACUUAAUUGGGGUAUCUUAAGGACAUUUACUGCUCCACCAUUCGAAUAUUCAUAUUUUGUAUUGGAAUGCAUCACCAGCAUUCUUUAAAGGUGUGUAUUCAUUCUGAUCUACGGUGAACACCGUAAACAGUCUCGUUGAGAAUACACUGAUUCGUGGGAAAGUAUUUCCUUGCGAGCUUGUGUAUAUAUGUAUGUUAAUCUUAAAUGGAAGGACUACAAAUAUACAUCGUGAUGGAAUGCUAAUCUAUGACAGAUAUCUUUUCUCACAAAAUCGUUUCAUAUUUAUUCAAUAAGAUGUAGUAAAAUAAAUAAAAUUAUGUGGCCUAUUGAGAGUGGGGGAGUGAACGACUAACAGUGCCAGAUAAACCUCUAAUUCAUAUAGAACCUCAUAUACUCGACCAUUUGAAUUCUUAUUUUCUUUAACCACAUUAAUGUAGUUUAUUUACAAUAUCAAAUAGGCGUACUUGUUUGAAUAAUUUUAAAAUAAAUUAUUUAUUUAGAAUGAAAGGCCAAUGCUUUUAACAUUUACUGCCCGCUUUUUUUAUCGAAACUGGUGAAAUUGAUAUGGUGGGUGUUCAGUUUAAAUGUCUGUAAAUCGUCGCCCGGUUUGACACCACUUACUGACACCUUGGGAGCUUUUAACGGAGUCCUUUCGGAUAGAUGCAUUCGAACAAGAUUUCUGACUUAAGGCUACCUUUCUCUUUCCUUUAAUAAGUCUCGGGGCCUUGUAUGGGAUCGGGGACACGGCUUUCUUCCCGACUCUUUUUUUACUUUUAAAUCAACAUCCCGGAUGAAAAGUAUUGGCGGUAAGUGAAUUCCAGUUUUUGGAGGUUUUGUGCCCUGGUUAGGAAAGGUUGUAUAUAAUGAUUUGUACGGGAGCUGGUGAACGCGACACAAUAGGGUUUACGAAGAAGAAGAGAUUAUCAGGUAGUCUUGGUGGAAGUCGUUAAACAUUACCUAAUUCAGAGGAUUAGAAGUGAUUCUUUAGGCAGUUAACAGAAAGAAUGAUCUCGUGAAUGAAUCUUUGCUACAGGUAUCUUCUUUUAGUUACAGACUAAGAUGUCAGUAUGUAAAGCAGUAAUAUCUUGCUUGAUGCGGAAGCCAUACAACAGUAUGUGUUUUACUUGUUUGCAAAGAGUCAACGAUUGAUCAGUACUGAUAUAUUUUCUGAAGUUUCAUAGCGGAUGGCCAACUAAUCAGAAAUGAAUUUUUUUCCUGAGAGCUAAAGUAAAAUGUUUUCAAAAUUAAAUAUACAAUUGAUUCCUGUAGCCUCUCCAAGCAGCUCGAGUAAAGAAUCUUCAUAGCUUCAGUUAAAGCAAUCCUUCUUAACUGCAUAAACUUGGAUCCCACCGUCGACCCACUAGGGCCAAGUUUCUCGAUGAUUGCUACAUUCUUUUGCUUCGACUGGCAUUCAACAGCAGCUAGACGUAGGAAGUAACCAGCAUGCAAUUCUAUAGCAACCUUUCCAUCUUUGGUCAGCAAAAUAGAAGAUGAUGACAACUAAGUCAGCGCUGUCUAGAAAAUCCAGAAUUUAUUGCUAUCCAAGAACCGACCAACGAAAGGAUAAUUUGUUAGCGUCCUUCAAACACCAUGGACAAGGUUUUGAUAGAAGCCUCUUGUGAAGUAAAUACUGUUAAAUUUAGAAAACUGAUAGAAUGGUAUAUUGGCGCAUCCGGUGACGGUAGCAAGACGGUGUCGGCAAGAUGACGGCGGUGGUGGCAAAACAACGAUGGUAAUGGUGACGACGGCGCGGCGAUUAUGAUGGCAUUUCGUUAGCUUGGCUCUAUCGGCUCUAUGAUUCACGGCAGAGCUGUUCUUUUCGGUAGAGCUGUUCUACAAGGGAACAGGUCUCAGAUGGCGGAUAGCGAUACACCCACAAGAUAUUUAAAUGCUAGUUGCGAGAUAAGCGGCUCCUGCCGGACGAAUAAGCAGUCUCGGACCAAACGGCAGUAACUUACUAGGGAAGAUUGAGCAAUGGAUAACACUGUUAGCUCUCAAGGAAAUUCUCAGAAUCCAGUGAUACAGUUGCGACGAUGCAAGUAAAGUCCGCUUCAAAAAAGCCUAGUUUUCGCGAGUCGAAUAAAAUUACUAGAUUGGUGAGUGAUGCAAAUAAGAUCACCAGAAGCUUCAGUAUGUUUACAAGCAAUCAAAUCAUUCAUACCGCAUCAUCACGCAGGAUAACAAUGGACACGUUUUGGUCUUGAGUAGAUUGGCCUCUCCGAAAAAUAUAUUGUGACUUGCCCUGCGAAGUGUGGGAUGGACGUACAAAGUUUAUGUAGCUCGGACUCCCAAAAAGGACCACGGCGGAGCAAACUAAUGGCCUGAUAUAGUUAAAUGUUCCUCAAUAAUAAAAUUCUUUGGCUUUGGAAUUGUAGAUUUGGAUGAAAGAUGGAAACUCCAGUACUAAAGUGGGAUGCCAGGAAUAAUUGCACAGGCUGCAGUGGGGAUACUCGCAACUCCUUGUGUGUCAAAAAGUGUUAUGGACUGGAUCUUGUUGGGAAGAAGGAUUUGCCUCUUGAAGCUUACGCUGAGAGAUAGACUUGUGUGGGUGGUGCAAAUUCAUGUACCAAACAGGGAGUUCUAAUACAGAUCCUUCCUGAAAGAAUUCACUACAGCGUUUGAUAUAAUUAUGACCGAGUCAUUUAUCCCAAUGGAAGACUUCAAUGUACAGGUUGGUACACGGAAAGGAUGAUUAGGAGGAAUGAUGAUUCUAACCUAAAUGCGAAUGGAGAGGUGUCAUUAGAUUUCUGUUCUAUUAAUGGGUUCUCUAUUAUGAAUACCUUCUUCCAGUUCAAAGACACCCAUAAAAAUACAUGGACUAAAGGGGACCGGGGAUACAGAGCAGUAAUUGUUUUUGUGACAUUCUCCGAUCUGAUAGGCUGGCUCAUAAGGAGGUCAGAACCAGAUAUGAGGACACUAUAGCAUUCAAAUGCGGAGAACUCUCCCAACAGACUAAGACCGUUGAAAAUGAGUGGGGACUCUUCAGCUCGGUAGUUUCUGGUUCAAUGAAAAGGAUAAUGAUGUUAUCCGAGCAAAGAAGCAGGCUUACAAAACUUCGCUUAGAAAUAAGUCCUCCUUGCAUUUUCAGCACGAAAAGGCACGAAAAGUCGCAGCAGAGACAGUAAAGGUGUCAAAGUUUAAGACAUAGGAGGGUUUCUGGGUUAAGCUGGAAUCCGACGUUAUAUUAACAUUCUAGCAGACCAUCUGCUGACUUCGUAAUAAAGAGUCCCCUUCUACUCCUGCUAUCUGGAACUUGUCCGGAGUUCUCUCUGAAGAGAUGUGCAUUCUCGAGAGGUAUAGGGAAUACUUUGUUGAUCUUCUAAAUCCGGUCACAUCAUAUACUGAAGAUGCAUCGAGGAGCGAUUGCUACCCUAUCAGAGACUGAGAUCAAAGAUCAAUUAAAGAGCUCAAAAUGUGGCAAGGAUGAAAUUCGGUCCGGGAUGUAAAAGGCCUUAAACAGAGAGGGUAUUCUCUGGCCGAAACAUGUGUGCCAGGUGGCCUGGAUCUCUGGAAGGCACCUAUGCAUUAGCAAUCGAGAAUGAUAAUCCCAAUUUUCAGAAAGGGAGACAAGAAAGAUUACUUUAAUUGUAGAGGAAUCGCCUUGUUAAGCCUCCCCGAUGAAAUCUAUGCUCAGUGUUUGGCAAAGAGAUGUAGGGAUAUUGUCGAGUCCAAGAUGACGAACAGUGUGGUUUUCACCCCAGACGCAGCACAGCCGACCAAAUAUUCACAUUGAGACAGGUUUUCGGGAAAUCGUGGGAGUGCGGUCAAGAGGUGUGUGCUUGCUUCGUAGAUCUAGAAAAGGUCCACAGGACUUGUUGUGGAAGGUUUUGCUGAAGCUUGGGAUCUGGGAUCGAUGGCAGCUUUAUGUUGCCUUAAAGUCUCUAUAUGAAUAGCCUAAUAUUUGUGUUUGAAUAAAUGAUACUAAGUUGAAACCAUUCAAUGUGAGUGUCGGACUCCUCUCUUGUUCAUGCGCAGCCGAGUUGGAAGUGAUAUUGAGACCGGCGGGUGUAGGAUCAAGUUGGUUGGGAUUUGCAGACGACAUUGUACUAUUCAAUUUGUCGGAAGGUGAUCGCCGACGUACCCUUGAUAGUGCAGGAAUUUUAGGAGCUAAUGCAGUAAUGCGCUAGCUUCAACAUUUGGUCAUCAGUGGAAAGGAGGUAGAUAUAAAAGCCAAACUCUCUAUCUUCAAUUCGGUGUUCGUUCCUACCUUGUCUAUAGUCAUGGAUUAUGGGUAAUGACCGAAAGAAUACGAUCGCGAACACAAACAGCCGACAUGGAGUUCCCUCGAAGGGUCUUUGGGGUAACGUUACUGGAUAGAAUUCGUAGUUUGGAGAUCAGUGAAGGACUCCAGUAGAGCCGCUACUUCUCUGAAUUGAGAGAUCACAGCUCCGACACUACAGAUAUGUGGUUAGAAUGUCUCGGGAAAGAAUUUAUGGAUAGGUUGUAUGGAUAAAACCAACUGGCAGGAAACCUAAAAGUAGACCACAAACAAAAUCGUUAUAUAACAUCCUGAGAUCGGUUGGUUUCGUUUGAGCUUCCAGCCAGGUCAAGUGGAGUCGGUAGCUUCUGACAGGACCCCAUGAAAGACGUGCUUGAGGACUCUACCCCCACCCACGACCCUCCGAAGAAGAUGAAAUGGUACGAAGAGAAACCCUUUCAAAUGUACUUUCCAUAGACUCUGCCUCAGGCAUGAUCUGAGAGAGUUCAUCUUGCUGUGAUAUCUCUAUCAACAUGAGUAACAACAUAGAUAUCAUUGUUAAUAAAAUAAAGGCGAUAAAUGAAAGACUCAGCUGAGUGCCAAACAAAAAUAUCCUCUGGACUUAAAUCCUAUUAAGGUCAACUUUACUUUUGAUUUCGCGAAGAUCAACAAAACAGGCACCAGUAAUAUACUGUAGUCAACUGACGUGACUAUAUCCGUCCUAAUAAUGUGUGGUCGUAUGUCAAUGUAACAAUUAUUUUUGUGAAAGUAAAUUACCACAAUAUUUCACAUACGCAAAUAUUUUUUUUUGUAUAACUGUUGAAUAUGCUCACAUGAUUCAUUGUUUUUUGCCAUUAUAUAUUAUUUAGAAUCAUAAACAAUAAAAGUUUCGUUUAUUCCAACUGUAUUUCUACAGUCACUCUCUUCAGUAUUCUGUUUCUGUGGGUUUGGAACGUCUGUAAAGCUAAUUUAACUUAAAAUACAGAAACACAAUCAGUUACUAUAUUUCUUUUAGUCAGGCGCUCUUAGAUGUCAUUCAAUGAAAAGUUUUACAUGAUGUUGACAAUAAUGCGAUAGUCUUCGUAGUUAAGCAGAGGAAAGUUUUAUUUAUAUUUAUUUGUGAUAAACGUGGAGGUCACCAAGAGAGUUGAGUGAGGAUUUAAAUAUGAUACUGUACUUGGUUAAGCACUUCUCCAUACUAGGUUCCAAUCGUGUCAAGGUCGAUAUUGCUUUUAUGUUUUGUCUAUCUAUAAAGUAUCAAUAAUAUAUUGGCGUUAAUUAUAUCAAUUGCAUUACUUUGCUACAAACACUUACUGUAGGCUCAGUCAAAACGUGUUAAUAAAUUUAAUCAGGAGUAUAUACUCAUAUGCACACAAAUACAUACACGGAGUAAGCUUAGCAGUUUGGUUAAGCCUUGUUACUGAGAAUUUGAAAAUAUUGUCUUGGUUAUUAUUCAAGCUGCCGUAUUCUCAAACGUCAUACACAUAAACCAGACACUACAUAACUAAUCCGUUUGUGUUUCCGAGAAUGAAUAAUUCGUGUUUAAAAAGAAAAUCCUUCAAACUUACUUUGAUAUGAGAACUUUUCAAAGGCUGUUCACUUUUCUAUCUACCAGAAACUAAUUUCUUCCAGUUUGAAAACUUUCUUAGGCCAUACUGCAGCCAGUGUCACUGGCUAUUCUCCACGACAACGCUAUCGCAGUCAUUACUGCAAAGCAUUUGAGCAAGCCAUUUGUUCUGGAGCAUGUGACCCGUCGCCCCCUCCUCCUCUAGCUUUCGCUGCUUUACCCACCACGCACACCUUUUUCUUUUCUUUCUUUUCCUUUCUUAUAUCCUUUCUUCUUGUUUCUUUGUUUUUAAAUGUUCUAAUAAAACUCCGACUGUUUUCCAGUUAUAUGUCAUUUUCAACCGUACCUCUGUACUAGUGAACAUAAUAUCCGAUAAGUAGUUAUACAACGUCCUAACACCUUUAUAGCAUCCACAAACGCGAAUCUUUAAUCCAUUUUGUAACGUGGGUUCGAUAAUUCAAUUUAAUUUUGUGGUUAAGAAACCACUCCUAAAACACGUUCCUCGUAUCCGAUACAUCGAAAUCAUUAGAUUGAGUAAAAUAUCCUAAAAACCAACACUACAUAAAACGAAACGUUUCAUUCAUUUGUUAAGCCAAUAAAACAUUUCACAAGCCCACAUUGAAUUCAAAUUACUAAAUGUCAAUUAUAUAUCAACGAAAUUUUAAUUUCAUCUUCGGAGUCAGAAAAUAAUUCAGCCCCAAACAAUAUAACACUACAAAGCACAAAUACAUCCUACAACAGAUUAUUGUUCAAAUAUCAAAUAAUAUGUCACCAUACAGCAUAAGGAGGCUAAUCUAAGAAACACGCUAACGCGCAUAUAUACAUGCUAAUGCUAACGCGCAUGCACACACAUACACACACACACACACACACACACACACACACACACACACACACAUGUGCAUAUGUGUACACUAGAUAGCAACCUCGAAAAUCUAUUUACCAAAAUACUACAGCACUAUGCCCAUGCCAAAACCUCUCUUUGUCCUUCUGUUGCAGAAAUCAUUGUGCCUCUGACCAUGUAUGAUCUAAUGACAUACCAUACUAAUUUCUCUGUGUCUCCUCCUGUAGAUUUAGCACUGGAUCCAUCCUCCAUCUUUCAUUCUCAGAAAAUACUUCAAAUUCACGUUUCUCUAAGCCAAUUCAACUGAAUCCCCUGCACCCAUCCCAAAAGUGGAGGCGAGGGGUCGCGUGUUCGAAUCUCAGACCGGGCGAUGUGUGUGUUUAUGAGCGAAACACCUAAGCUCCACGCGGCUCCGGCAGAAGGUAAUGGCGAACUUCUGCUGACUCUUUCGUCACAACUUUCCCUCACUCUUUCCUCCUGCAUCUUGCAGAUCACCUGCGACGGACCGGCGUCCCGUUCAGGUGGCGAACCUAUACGACAAGGAAACCGGGAACUUGGCCCCAUGAGCCAGGCAUGGCUCGAGAAGGAACAAACAAAGCCCACCCCAAAAGUACUUCAUGUAUACUUCAGACGAUUCCAAUUCUAAAGCUAGAAAAUAUGUAAACAAGUGUAUUCGUGUAUUUGUGUUUGUGUUUGUAUGUGCUUGUGUGUGUGAUUGUGUGUGUGUACGUGUGUGUAUGUAUGUAUGUGUGUGUAUGUAUGUAUGUGUGUGUGUGUAUGUGUGUGUGUGUGUGUGUGUGUGUGUGUGUGUGUGUGUGUGUGUGUGUGUGUGUGUGUGUGUGUGUGUGUUUAAACUGAGUGUGACUAACGUUCACAGUAGCUAAAAUGUUUAAUCAUAAUAAAUGGGACGAACAGACUGAUAAAUUAUAUGCAUUGCCCUUAUAUGGGAGUUGUUAAAAACGAAAGUAUCAAACCAGAAAAAGGAAGAAGAAUUAUUCACUGUUAGCUCCUCUGAAACUUAGAAAAUCUAAGUUUCUGAUAAUGAUCUACAUGACGCCAUAGCAUUUCAUGCAUAUGUUUACAGGAUGAAUUCUGGUUUGUCUAACACAAAUAAUUAUAUCCCUUGUACUCUUGUAUACACGGAUAUAGGUACUUUUGCCAUUGUUUUUCUCAAUUAUCUUCUCACAGAACAGACCCUUUAAUAAUGUGUAUAUUGAAAAGUACACGGGAGUCGAAAAACGGGUAGACACUGAAUAUAUUUGUCUAGAGUGUAUACAAGAUUAAACCAUUCUUCAUAUCUAUAAUUUUAUUCAGCUUGUUCCUGUUUACCUUCAUACAUCUGUCCUAAUGCCAUGCUCGAAUUGUACGCUUUAAGCAAUGUUAAGUAUGGAAUCAAAUCGAAGAAUUCUACAUAUAUUUUAUUGGGCAUCGGCUUGAAAUGUUUAGAAGAAAAAUCUACUCCAUUAUUUAUUCUCUUAAGUCUGGUACUUAUCCUAUCGUCACUUUGCCAAACCGCUAAUUUGCGGGAAUGUACAUAGACCAACAUUGGUUUAUAUAUAAUAAUAAUAAUAAUAAUAAUAAUAAUAAUAAUAAUAAUAAUAAUAAUAAUAAUAAUAAUGAUGAUGAUGAUGAUGAUAAUAAUAAUAAUAAUAAUAAUAAUAAUAAUAAUAAUAAUAAUAAUAAUAAUAAUAAUAAUAAUAAUAAUAAUAAAAUAAUAAUAAUAAUGAUGAUGAUAAUAAUAAUGAUGAUUAUAAUAAUAAUAAUAAUAAUAAUAAUAAUAAUAAUAAUAAUAAUAAUAAUAAUAAUAAUAAUAAGAAGAAGAAGAAGAAGAAGAAGAAGAAGAAGAAGAAGAACACUGCCGAAUUCCUGAAGUAGAUCCAACGGAUAUAUACCCCAACUGCGGAUGACACCAGGUAGCCCAAACUGUGACACUACUCUACCCAACACUUCAACGCACUAAUCGACACACAUCCAUUAACAAAUCGAUCCCAGGACUUUUUUUAAGCAUUGUACUUACUCUAUCGGUCUUUUUGCCGAACCGCUUAUUUACGGGGACGUAAACACACCAACACUGGUUGUCAAGCGGGGAUGGGUGGACAAAGACAUACACACACACAUAGAUAUAUACACACGUACAUACAUACAUGCAUACAUAUAUAUAUAUGUAAACACAUAUAUAUACAUGUAAUAAAGGAUAAAAUCGUUAAAAAUUUUAUCAGUGGCCAGCAUAUAAAACUAGACCUAUUAAGGUGAAAUCAUAUAUAUAAUUACAAUUAAGGACAUAGACACAUGUUGCCUAUAUCAGCAAGAAUUUUCUAUGCCCUUAAUUGUAUAUAUGUGUGUGUGUGUGGCUGUGUGGUAAGUAGCUUGCUUACUGCGCAUGCGUUAGUCAGUUACUGCUGCACUGAAUGCUGUCAAGACGUUGCUUUCGGAGCGCUCUUGAAAUGAAGAAAUUUGAAGGUGCAACUAUAAGGUAAGACAUUUAUUGGGGGGGGGGGGAUUCCGUGGGGGGUUUGUUGUUUGUUGUUCAUUUUUUUGCGAACAAGAAAUUCCUACUUAGUUCCGGGGCAUUUGUCUGCCUAUAGUUGCGCUGUCUCCCUUAAUUGUGAGGAUUGUGUUGUUUUGGGGGCGUAUCUCGCUUCCAAAAAUAGUGGAAUUUUUUUCACCAAUUUUUGGCGAAAUUUGUGGAAGCUAUGUCCUGGCUGCUGUGUUCUUGUUGCUAUUUGUUUGCUGUGUUCUUGUUGCUUUUUGUGCUGUUUUUCUUGAACUAUUUUCUUUCCUUCUUCUUUAUUCUUUGUGUCUUUCUUUUGAACUUGUUUCUUACAAGAACAUGGCGAAGAAACAAGACACUGUGUUGGAGUGGGAGAUUGUCCCACACAAAGAGUGGGUGAAAAAUUUGGAAGAUAUGACGGUCUUUUUGAGGACAUACUCAAAGUCGCUCGACACCAUCACCGACUUCAAGAAAAUUGUGAUUAAGGAAGAGUUGGCAAGAUCAAUGUUUGAAUGUUUACAUUAUCUGUUUAAACUUUAUAUUACAGCAGAAAAUACGGUUAGUAUUUUCUAAAUCGAAAGGAACAAAAUGAUUAGACAGAAAUAGUUCUUUUUAUCUCUUUGUUACAAAUUACAUUUCUCUCCAAUCACUUCAUUCCUUCCAGCUGAGAAAAUACUAACCGUAUUUUCCGGUGUAAUAUAUAAUCUAAACAUGUAGUGUAAGCAUUCAAACAUUGUCACUAUCUUUGCAUAUCCUGUUGCAUUUCAUAUGAAAUUUUUGGUCUUCUAAAGUCAUCUUGGUAUAUAAGUACGCCUGCUUUUUGGGGCUGUAAAUUUUGCUCUGAAAAAUUCGACUAUAACGGGAAAUACGAUAUUCAGUAGCUUAUCAAAAUCUGUUACAAGCUAAAUGUCUUUUAUUGUGGCAUGAUAUGCCAUAAGAGUUUUGUAAUUUAAGAAAAAAUCUAACAAUUUUGAGGUAGUUAGUUCGUCGAUUACAUCGACCGCACUACUUGACUCUAUGCUGCCGACCCUGGAGGAAUGAAAGAUAAAUAUAUCAGCGUCUAGUUCGAGAACAAAAUCUCAGCAACUUUGAAAGAAAAUAAGUUAAUAAGAUAAUUUAUGUUCAAAAAUUAGCCUUCGGUGAAAUCUUAAUGAAUAUAUUGGUUUGUAUUUUGCUAUUGUUUUGAAAUGUUAUACUUUAAUAACCUACCUAAAUAUGUAUUCCUGUUUUUCACGUAGAUAACUACUUUGUCAUCUAAUUAAACAUUUUUAUUCAACACAGAUGCCUUCAAUUUCAUUCGUCACAGAUGCCUUCACGUAUCUAGCUCUUAAUAAGCAGUCUAGGACUUCUCUAAUUACCAUCUGCCUAAUUAGAAAACAUAGAUUGAGUGAAAAUCUGUUUUUCAGAAAUGUCAAUUCAUGGGUGGGACAUUUAUCAUCGACUUAAGGUAAAGCAGUAAACAAAGAGAUGUUUUCAGGCAAAAACAACUGCGUCAUUUUUUAAUAGUGCAUAAAAGAAGGAAUAAAAGCAAAUAAAUUUGUCAAAACAUUUCAGUUUUCAUUUUGCAGCUGUAUCUGUCGGUUCCUAUUACUGUAACAUCCGCUCGAAAGCGGAUAUCCGUAAAUGGGUAGAUUUGAAAUUAAUUAAAACAAAAUUAUCCAGUUGUUCUUUUUUUAAGUAAUAAUAUUUCCUUGUGACGUUGUUCGCUAUGGAAAUUGGUAUCAAUAUGACACUACUAGACAAAAGGUUUCAUCAUUAAAACUGCGAUCUUGUGCACAUGACGUUUAGCGAACAAUACUCCUCUGUCUACUUAUGAGAUCAUCAACAUUCCAAGAUUAGAAAAGGCGGAAAAUCAAUCUAAACCCACGUUAAUAAGAUAACUGCUUAGUUUGCAAUUUUAAAAAUACUGUUUUUAAGAAUUUAUUUUUAGAGUAAAAUAUAUUUAGAUAUUAGUAUAUUUUUUGUCAGUUGAUGAGAGAUUUCUUCCCACACUAAUAUACCCCUUUGUCUUAUUAUUUUUCUAAUUCAUUAUUUUUCCUUAUUAAUUUCCUAAUUCAUUCCUGAACUCUACAUCUAACUUCAAAGGUACCACCUACACAGAUCCAUUACUUCAAACUCAACCUAUUACUUUCAUUUAAAAAUCUACCUGUGUUUUUUCUAUCUUAACAUUUUCAACCGAUAUGUUACUUUAAUCAACAGACACCAGUUUCUCUCCAGUAUUAAUAAGUAGAAAGGACAGAGUAAAAUAUAUCCCCGAAGAACUUAUCUCUCAAUUCUUUGACAAUAUAUCAGUCUUCUUGCAGAAUAUACUCAAAUAUUUAGCACACUUGUAUGCUUCAGUGAUCAUGGAUCCCUCUAACUAAAGUCUGAAAUUUCUUAAGUUUUGUGUUUGUGUGUGUGUGUGAUGGGAGAGAAAGACAUCACAGGGUUCCCGUUGCUUCUCCCGGUUUAUUUGCAGUUCACUGUGCUAGUCUCCUGCUCUCAAGUACUUAACUUUGAUGCACAGAUCCUAUUCAACCCUCUGGUAAGAGGAAUGAUUAAUGUGACAUCAGGGCAUGUCCACAUAUCUAGGAGCCAACCUUCCUCGAGUCCUGUAUUCAUUAAGCACAAAAUUGUUUCCUACUUGACCCACAAGAGGAACUUUUGUUAGGUAGUACUAUUCCUGUUCAGAGCUAAGCAGAGAGUCCUGGGUACUUUGAUAUAACUCUACACUCCAUAAAGCUCUCCCGGUUGCAGUUAAAUAUUUUGUCUGGGAUAAGGCGGCGAGCUGGCAGAAACGUUAGCACGCCGGGCGAAAUGCUUAGUGGUAUCGUCUGCCGUUACGUUCUAAGUUCAAAUUCCGCCGAGAUCGACUUUGCCUUUCAUCAUUUUGGGGUCGAUAAAUUAAGUACCAUUUACGCACUGGGGUCAAUGUAAUCGACUUCAUCCGUUUGUCUGUCCUUGUUUGUCCCCUCUAUGUUUAGCCCCCUGUGGGCAAUAAAAUAAGAAACGUUAGCACGCCGGGCGAAAUGCUUAGCGGUAUUUCGUCUGCCGCUACGUUCUGAGUCCAAAUUCCGCCGAGGUCGACUUUGCCUUUCAUCGUUUCGGGGUCGAUUAAAUAAGUACCAGUUACGCACUGGGGUCGAUAUAAUCGACUUAAUCCGUUUGUCUGUCCUUGUUUGUCCCCUCUGUGCGUAGCCUCUUUUGGGCAGUAAAGAAAUUGGUAUUUCGUCUGUCUUUACGUUCUGAGUUCAAAUUCCGCCGAGGUUGACUUUGCCUUUCAUCCUUUCGAGGACGAUAAAUUAAAUACCAGUUGCGUACUGAGGUCAAUCUAAUCGACUGGCCCCACUCUCCAAAAAUUUCGGGCCUUGAGCCUAGAGUAGAAAAGAAUAUUUUGACUGGGAUCAUAUCUGUCCCAGAGGCAGUACAUAUUAUCCUCAAGAAAAUAAAAUAAAAACAUUAUCCCUAAACUUAUUUGUCAAUAACCGUGAGUAAAAUUUUCACAAUUUGUCUGAUGAGAGUUGUUCAACUUGAAACUAUAAGACAAAGGUACUAAAAGAGUUUUGAUGACAUCACUUCCCUGACAUUCUGUGCAUAAACUAGAAACCACAUUCUCUUCACGGACGAGGAAAUAAUCGCCUCAUAAACAAGGACUUUUGUGUGCUUUGUUAAGAUUUUUUCCUUUCUUAAUAGAAAGACCAAAUUGUCUGACGUUGUCCCAUUGUUCUGAGAUAUUUCUGAAGAUAGUUCAUGUCAGUUCCUGUCACAUGUUGAUUUCUUCUUUUAGAGCUGAAUAAACAAUUCGGGAAUUAUAAAAAGUUUUCAUGAGUAACAGUUGGUAAGCGAAAAAAAUGAAUAGUUACUAAUACGAUUGUGCUAAUUGCAGUAUUUUAGACAACCAAACAGAAUCCAGAUGUUUGAGAAUUUUAUCUACUAGCUAAAAACAAACUGGGGAAAGAAUUUUAAAACAAGCAUUUGGAAAGGAUUUAGAACACUGUCUAAAAAUAUAUUACUUUCAUUUAUAUAUAUAGAAAAUUUUUAAUACCUCCUACCUUUUAACACUUGUCAUUUUAACAUAAAUCAUUGUAGUAAGAUCAAAUCUUGAUCUGACAUUUCAAACUAUAGUAAUAUUAGGAAUUAAUCCAUAAAAUGCAUCACUUAUAGCAUUUAAUUCAAUACUUUAAUAAAUUCUGCUCCAGAAAGGAGAUGAACCGUUUGUGAAAGAAAGUCAAUAUAGCUACCAAUACAAAGACUAUAUAGACUAUUGCAUUUGUUUUCAAAUUUGUGGAUAAAUUUCCAGACAAUGACUGUCAACAUUCUAAAUCUAGCAUCGAUACACUUAACACAAAUGAAAGAACUGAAGGAAAUAAAAUUACACUUAAUAUUUCGGACAGCAAAAUCCAUCCCAACAUAAAAAGUUAAGUAUUUCGCCAACUAGACUGUUCUAAUCUCAAAACCUGUUGGUCAUUGAUAUACUUGCUUGAAGCGAUGGGAGCUUUCGGACACAACAAAAGCAAAAACUAACUACAGGGGGACUUGUGAAUAAAACAUUUGAAACAGAACAAAUUUGUUCUUAUAUAUUUUCUACUGAUUUUAGUCAUUGGACAACUACCACACUGGGGCAACCAUAAACACGGACACAAACACAACCUUUCACCAUAUAUAAUAUUGAUAUAUAUAUAUAUAUAUAUAUAUACUCUUACACACACAUACAUAAACACACACACACACAUACACACACACACACACAAACGUGCUUCUUCACAGUUUUCUCCUAACAAAUUGCAAGUGUAAUGUAUUGGUCAAUCCGAGGCUAUCGUAGAAAAUAAUUGCAAUCUUUCACGCAGACUGAAGCGAACUUCUAAAACACAAGGUCACGUCUACACUAUUUACAAAUGAUUACAUUUUAAUUCAGUAUAUUUUUCAGGAGAGAUAUUCUGUCUAAAAUCAGCUACAAUGACAGAUGCUUGUUUACGUAUGUACAUUUAUAUAACCAUACAUGCGCGGGCGUAUACGUAUUAAUGGGUGUAUGUAAGUAUAUAUAUAUAUAUGCAUAUACAUACUUAACUAUAUAUAUAUGCACACACAUGUGUGUGUGUGUAUAUAUAUAUAUAAGCAUAUACAAAUGGAGAUACAUAUACACACAUUUUAUAUUAUCUAAUACUUACAUACAGUCAUAUGUUUGUAAGUACAUCUGUUUGUCUGUCUGUAUACUUAUAUAUAUAUAUAUAUAUAUAUAUAUAUAUAUAUAUAUAUAUGUAUAUGUAUAUAUAUAUAUAUAUAUAUAUAUAUAUGUAUAUGUAUAUAUAUAUAUAUAUAUAUAUAUAUAUAUAUAUGUAUGUAUAUGUAUAUACUUGUAUAUUUCUCAUACAAUUAUUCAUCGUUUUAAAAGAUUAAGUAGACGCUAAUUAACUUAAUUGUUGCUGAAAUAUAUGAUAACCUUUUGGAAAUGCCGAAACGAUUUUGCCUGGAUGCGGAAGUGUAAACAAUUUCUGGGUGAUCUGAAUUAAUUCUGAAUUCAUUGAAGUCUUUAUUUCUUUUUAGAUCUCUUCAAUUCCGCCACUAUACCUUUAGUGUUGGGUAGAAUAUAGCUAAAAUAUACUGAUGUGUCAAACGAGUGCUACUACGGCCCAGCAGUUAAUGGAGUUCUACAAUAUACAAAUAUGUCAUCGAAAUUUUCCUUUUCUUAUCUACAACAUUAAAUCAUUUCUGAAACAUGCCAUCAAAAAAGCCUCACUAUUACACAAGAGAACUUCUGUUAUAGUCACGGGCAACCUACAGCUCGCGGGAAUAAAUGAAUGGCAAGCCUAACGUAAAAUUACUUUCUCUUUUUUUAGCAGAGCGGCUCGCCGGAUUAUCAAACGUGUCUGUCGCAUGUCACCUCCUUCUCGUAAAGGGCUGACUAUGUCCAUACUUUGCUGUUAUUCACUUGCUUAGCCAUAUUUUCUUAAAGUAUCUCGCUGUCAUAUAAAAGGAAGGGGGCAACUGUUAACGUUAUCAUUAUAGAUUGAACCUGAAAAAGAUAAAAGUACAAAACACAAUGACUAAAGUUGGAACAUCAUAAUUCUAUUCAACAACAAAAACAAUAAUUCUGAAAACAAUAUCCAACGAAUAAAGAUUAAUUAUGAUAUUGUUCUUGGAAGUUGAUGCAUCCUAUCCCGAUUCCAUCUGAUCGUUGAAUCCCCACCGAAAACAUUUCAUUUGAGUAAAGCGUAAAUCUGCCUAAAGUUUUCAUGAUGAUUAUUUCAGUCGUGAUGAGUAUUUCAAAUGAACUAUAUUUUCGUUGAGUCAUAUAGUACAUAGCCAAGUAUUCUGCAAGCAUUUUUAAUCUUAACGUAAUCCCCAGACACAAUUCACCCUCUAUAGUAUGUAAUAAAGUCAGUCAUCUCAAUUUACAAGUGUAGCUUAUUCAAUGAGCUUCCACGAACUUUCUACUCAGUUUCAUUCACAUAACUUGAGUCAACCUGAAAUUAUAGUUUAAGACACAGUGAUGCGCAAAAGGAUCUAAAAAUACUUGUGUAUAGACAUUUAUUUAUUUAAAACAUUGAAGAACUUAAACUAACGAAGACUAUUCCUUUUUAAGUUAUAAUUAAGCAAAUUGAAAACUUUCACAAAGUGAUAGCUAACAAAAUAUCUUGAGACUUAUAAAAAUAAACUAAACUUCCUUGUGUAUUGCCUUAUAAUUUGCAAUAAAUACCACACAUGUAUACAAAUCAGGUUGAAAGUGUAGUGAUUGAUAUGUACUAUCAAAUUACUAACCUAUUGUACUAAUUUUUUAAAACAUUGACCAGGUAUUAUACGCACUCACAUCUUUCAUGCACACACGCGCGCGCAAACACACACACACACACACACACACACACAGAGUAUGUGGUUGAAAGGCAGCACAGAUAUUUCUCAUCAUCUCUGACACCGGGGAAAAGGAGGGAAGUAAUUCUUAGACCAGAGACCUAACUUACUGCAAAUACUAGCAACAGAAUGAGCUCUACUAAAGUUACCCAAGGAUCAGGUGAUGGUAAAAUGCCGAGUGACGGAGUAAUGUCUAGGGACCAAAACCCUUCAACAGGUUUCUUACACGGUUUCCAUUCACCAAAUUUCAUUUACAAUGACUUGAUCGACCUAAAGUUAUGGAAGAAGGCCCCUGGCCAAGAUGCCGCACAAUGAGAUUGAACCUGAUGAAGCAUCGUUUCGAAUCGGACUUCUUAACUAUAAGAGCUAAGCCUGGUUGGCAUCGGCCUAUGGUUUAUUUGGUCCUUUGGAUAGAUAAAUAAAAUAAUUUGAGUCAAUGCUUCGACCUUAAACUACGUCGUAAUAAAGAAUUAACGGUUCAUCUGAUGGUGAAACAAUUUAAUUAUCUCUAGUCUAGUCUAGUCUACUUUACUGUAAAUCUAACCAAUAAGGGUGUAUUUAUGCGAUGUUCCUAUAUGCUAAAAAUAUCAGCCAUAUCACUUCAGAUUGCACUCUGCCAUCAUAAUUAGAGAAACGGGCCGCAUGUGACAUGGCUCACUAUCAGAACCUGGUUGGAAGCACUCCGUCGGUUACGACGACGAGGGUUCCGGUUGAUCCGAAUCAACGGAACAGCCUGCUCGUGAAAUUAACGUGUAAGUGGCUGAGUACUCCACAGACACGUGUACCCUUAACGUAGUUCUCGGGGAUAUUCAGCGUGACACAGAGAGUGACAAGGCCGGCCCUUUGAAAUACAGGUACAACAGAAACAGGAAGUAAGAGUGAGAGAAAGAGUACAGCAGGGAUCACCACCUUCCCUGCCGGAGCCUCGUGGAGCUUUAGGUGUUUUCGCUCAAUAAACACUCACAACGCCCGGUCUGGGAAUCGAAACCGCGAUCCUACGACCGCGAGUCCGCUGCCCUAACCACUGGGCCAUUGCGCCUCCACAUCAGAACCAUACUAUUAAAAAGAUUGAAAGUAAUUUUUCUUUAAACUUGCCAUUCAGAAAGUAUCGUGGGCCGAAAAUUGCCCACGAUAGAACUAGACAGUACAUAUCGGAUUAUCUGGUUAUAAAAGAUAAAAAGAUAGAAAAUGUUUAUUUUUAUUCCACAUCUAUAAAAAAUGUCUCCACAUUUUUCUCAGUCUUGUACGUUUCGCUGUGUGUGCGUCUGUCGGUCUGUAUCUGUCUCUAUGUGCGUAUGUGCGUGCGUGUGUGUGUGUGUGUGUGUGUCUGUGUCUGUGUAUGUGUAUGUGCUUGUGUUAUUUCUUAAAUCAUCCAAACAACAAACGGAUCCAAUAAUGAUCCAAUAAUAGGCGCAGGAGUGACUGUGUGGUAAGUAGCUUGCUUACGAACCACAUGGUUCCGGGUUCAGUCCCAUUGCGUGGCACUUUGGGCAAGUGUCAUCUACUAUAGCCUCAGGCCGACCAAAGCCUUGUGAGUGGAUUUGGUAGACGAAAACUUAAAGAAGCCCGUCGUAUAUAUGUACGUGUGUAUAUGUAUAUAUAUAUAUGUGUAUAUUGACAACCGAUGCUGGUGUGUUUACGUCCCCGUAACUUAGCGGUUCGGCAAAAGAGACCGAUAGAAUAAGUACCAGGCUUACAAAGAGUAAGUCCUGGGAUCGAUUUUCUCGACUAAAGGCGGUGCUUCAGCAUGGCCGCAGUCAAAUGACUGAAACAAGUAAAAGAGUAGAAGAGUAGAAGAGUAAAGUUUACAUAAGUUUACUUUUAAUAAAUUAUCAAAGAUAAAGCCAUGUGAAUAACAGAAUAA
rnacentral:lncRNA from 1 species